UGAUCCCGCCGGCGGGCACCUACAACUACUGGGCCGACUCCUACACGCUCUUCGUCUUCAACAUGGCGCUCAUGGGCUUCGCCGAGCACCGCCGCCUCCAGGACUGGUACAACCCGGGCUCCAUGGGCAAGCAGUACUUCCUCGGCCUCGAGAAGUUCCUCGCCGGCUCCGGCGACCCGUCCUACCCCGGCGGCCCACUCUUCAACCCGCUCGGCUUCGGCAAGACCGAGAAGGAGAUGAAUGAGCUCAAGCUCAAGGAGAUCAAGAACGGCAGGCUCGCCAUGCUCGCCAUCCUCGGCUACUUCAUCCAGGGGCUCGUCACCGGCGUCGGCCCGUUCCAGAACCUGCUCGACCACCUCUCCGACCCCGUCAACAACAACGUGCUCACCAGCCUCAAGUUCCACUAGAACGUCCGUUGGUUGCUGCAUCAUACCUGUUGUUCAUAUGCUCUGGCUUGGCUGAUGCAUGGAAAGGAGCCUGAAGCGUUGCAUCAGGACUCAUGGCCAGCCUGCUGCUGCUUGUAACAAAUUAGUAUUGAUCUUGUUGAGACCACAAACUAUAUUGCACAUGGUAAAUCAAUGUACAAUUCCCUCCCUAGACGCUGAAAAAUUGAUCUUAAGGGCACACAUCCCCUAGGCAUCCAAUGGUGGAUGCACGUGGGGAUGUAUGUGUAGCAGAACUGCAGAAGAGAGCAUGUACUCUAUGUGUAUUCAAUGGUGAUGCACAUGGGAGCACGUAUGCUUAGAGACAAAACAGCAUUACAUUACCUUCCCUUCUGUUUUUUGUCAAUAUUUGCGGCCAAUGAAAGAGCGAAGUUUUGUAUCAUUUCACGGUGCUAAUUAACCUACCCUAGCAAAAAUGAGUAUAUCUGGUUUAGCAAAAUUCUUUUUUUUUUUUAGUUUGAGGAUCUAUGAACAAGUAUAAUUUACUCAUAGUACAAAAAUACUUGGAGAGUGUUUAGUGGAGCGUUUAGUGGAGCUCUCAAGCAGCUUCUAGCUUGAAUCUAGGAAGAUGUCCAAACAUUUUUUUAUAGAAAAGUUUUAAAAUAAACUAGAAGGUUAGAAGCUAAAAGAAGUAGUUUCUUCUAAUUCACUUAUGCACACAAUCACUUUUGACAUACAGUUCAUCCUAAAGAAUCAAUUCUUUCAUAUAAUCACUUCCUUAAUUAAAAACUAGCGACGACAGCUAUCACCGCCGUUUAUAGUGAUAAAAACAGCCAUCAUUGUUGGUUCGCAUUACAAACUGACGAUGAUAACCAAAAAGGUAUCACCGUUGAUUUGUUUGCAGGGCCAAUAUAAAGACCAAAACACUCAGACCAUAACCCCACCCCACUCUCAUAGAGCCACUGCCCCUCCCCUCUAGCCUACCCUCUUUCUCUCCCUUGCACCUCUCAACCAUUGUCUCUAUCUCACCUAUCCCUCGGACGCCCAUCUUUCGACUCCAGGCUCCCACUCCUCCAGGGCGGAUGUACGGCCCGUGCUGCCCGGGCUGUAGCACGGGACGAAGCUUAAAUAACAGUAGAGAAUUGUUUCAUAAAAAACACAUAAAAAGGCUAUUAAGCCCAUUAGCCCCCCACGAUAGGGAUUUAACCUAUUAGCCUCUGUUAUUUAGCCUCUCCUGUGCUUCGUUUCUGAAUCCGCCACUGCACUCCUCCCUCCCCCUCUCCCUCUAACUAGCAUGGUGCGGUAGUGAGAGAUGGCGGAGGUAGCACCGGGACCCGUAACCAACAAUGAGCUGAACAUAUAUAUAUAGUGUCUAUCUUCGUUCAGCCUCCCCUUAUUAAGGCCUGCAACCAUAAGAACAUGUAUGGAUCAAAUCUAAAUCUCAUGUCUACAACUGUAGGAACAAUUAUGAAUCCAAAUCUCAAUCUCAUAUCUACUAGUUGGAUGUGAAAAUUUAGACGCAACCAUUGAAAUUUAAAUGUUAAACUUUUGACGUUGCCUCUAGGCAGCCCACAAUGAGUCUACCUUGCCUCCAAGCCUAGUCCGCCAUAGGUAUGUCUUUAAGCUCAGCCCACCAUGGGUUUGCCUUUAAGCCCAGCCACCGAUGGGUCUGCCUCCACCUAAGCCACGGUCUAUGAUGCUAAUUAUGUAAUAAAUUGUUCGCCUCAUCAUUGCCAAAGCCUCGUGAUAAACCUAAACCUCGCUGCUGCUAAAGCCUUCAUAUAUCUAAUAUCCCUUCGCCAUCCACUGCCUCUUCUCUACCAUCCCUUAGCCUCCACCAUGGUCAGGUUUUGGGAACCAUCUUCCUACACAUGUGAGACUUCCCUUUGAUCAUCUAUAUUUUACUAGAAUCGUGCCUGUGCGUUGUAACGGGAAAAAGAUUUUGUUCUAAUAUUUAUAUUGUACAUCGUUCUAAUGUUUUCACGGUGUUCACAUACAUUGGCUUCAUACAAAAAAAUCAUGCAUUAUGAGUUGCGUGAAAGGUUCUAAAAAAGUCUAUAUUGUUAUCUCCAACAGUUUAUCUAGAAAUGUUUUUUGUUAAGACAUAUAGGGCUUGAUCUUUCCUGUUAAGAAUGUAUUGAUUAUAAUGACAUUUUUUAACUUUAUUAUUGUACAUAUAUAGGACAUGGCUUUAGGGACACUCACAAGGAAAAGAAGCUUCCAAGUUCAUACUCUGUUUCCAUUGCAAACGUUCUAAUUUGCUGCCUUUUCUUUUCUUGGCACAAACUCACUUGCCAAAGCAAUCGCACUUCAUACAGCAUUACGUUGCAAUGAAAUGAGAUGAUCGCGGGAGAGGAAAAAAAAAGUAGUCUGCAUUCUGUCCUAACACUGCAUGUGUCGCCUAGAUAGAAACGCAGGGCACGGCGGAGGGACGCCAAGAUUUCGCCGGCCGUGUCGUCUCCUCUUGCUAGUCCCCGUUCGCCCCUCGGCCGUGCGCCGGCGAGGUGUAGUAGAAGGUGACGCCCCUGCCGUUGGCCGCCUGAAGCGGCCUCGCGUUGCUCCUCGAGUCCUGCACACCAAACAAAAAAGCCACACACACAUCUUUCGUCAGCGUAUACACACCACCAGUGUACUUACUACUGCAAACUCUUCGACGCAAUGGCCGGCGGUGAACGAACGGAUGGGUGGGUGCUUACGUCGUCGACGGCGUUCCGCAGCAGCCUGAUCUGGCGCCGCGUCACCCUCCGUGUCUGCACGCAGUGGCGAAGCUAGAGUAAAUUAGAGAAUGAUGCAGUUCUCUAGCAAAUAUGAAAUUUUAAAGUGUAACAAUGAUAAAAUUUUGAUUGUAAUAGUAGGUUAUUUUUAAAUUUUUAUGCUGGGUACAUGUACACCCACAACUAUGAACCUAGCUUGUGCACGCAAGUGCGCGCCACGUCACACACACGUACAUCGCCGUGCACCUCUGUGUGUAGCUGGUUGCUCGUGCAUGGAUUUUAGGAUUUAUUAAUUACCUGGUGCGCGACUAGCCACGUGACGCCCUCCGUGCAUGGCGGCGUCGUGAAGGAGCCCAUGUACUUGUAGUAGGCCAAGCUCCGGCUCACCGGCCGCCGCGGGUCCACCUCCUCGUCGAUGAGCUCCUCGUGGUCUUUCCUCCUCGCGACCCUCCGGACGUACCUCUCCAGCUGCAUGCACACAUAUAUACACGCAUGAGAUCGAUCAUCACCAAUUUGGUUGGUUGGUUGGUUGGACCGUCUUGUUCGUUUGACUGAUAAGACAUGACAGUGUACUGUUGGCUGAUUUAUUGUGAGAACCCAAGUAAACACAAAUAUUACCCUGCGAAUGGUCCUGUCGCGAUGAUGCCGCGAGACCCUGUAGAGCUGCGAGACGACGGCGUACUUGUUGUUGUUGGCGUCGCUCUGGUGCAGCAUGUGCAGCUCCAGUGCGUACCUGCGGCCGUUGAUGGUGUGCUCGCUCGGCGCGUGCCAGUGCAUCUGCCGGAGCCUGUACGCCACGCCGUCGACCACCACGCCGCCCGGGUCCGUGUUGAACCUCACCUGAAGAACACGUACGUACGCACAUGCAUGCAGAUUAUUAUUAGUUAUAACCCCUCUCGGUCGUCGUCGUCGACGACGAGAUAUAUACUUGGCUACUGGUACGUACCAUGAUGUCGUGGCCGCGGUUGACGAGGGACGCGGCGGCGGGGCGGUAGGAGCGGCCUACGUGGCCAGGCCGGUCGCUGAGCCCCGCCACGGUGUCGGUGAGGCCGAUGGGUGACUGCAUGAGCCCCACGGAGCACGUCGCCCAGUCCCUCCGGAUCAUGCCCCACCGCGCCGGCCCGUUCCCGGCGUCUCGCCGGUAGCUGAAGUCCUCCUCGUCUUCAUCCACCGAUCGAUUCCCCAGCCCAGCCAUUGCAACGCAUCAAUUAAUGGAAACCAUGCACAGCACAGACGACAGCAGCACGGGGAGCGUGCAGUGUCAGUGUCACAAGAAGCAGGAAACGACCGGAUGCACGCACGCAUGACAUGACACAACGACCAGCUGCUGCUACCGGUAACUAUUAUGCAUUAUUCAAAACAGAGCCGACUGACUCGACUCGAUCGGUCACUCACGGCGCUGCGCGCGUGCGUGCGUAAACCAGCUGGACCCGGGACGCCUACCGAGCUCCUGCGCCGCCGCCGCGCCGAAGUGGCGGACGAGCAGCUGCAGCGAGAGGUAGACGACGACGAAGGCGGCGGCGGUGGCCAGCCUGCUGCUGCUCGGAGCCGCCGCGUACGCGUACAUGGCGCGCGGUCGUCGCUUUUUUAGUGCGUGUUCUGUGUGUGCUGCCUGCUAGCUAGCUGCUGCUUGGGCCGUGGUUCAUGUGUGUGUGUGUAUGCGCAGGCAAGAAUAAGGGAUCGCCUCGCCGUGUGGUGGGGGGGGCUAAUGAAGUAGCCGUGUCCGCGAGCACGCGCGCGGGGCGGGGCGGGGCCGGGAGAAAGCGCGUGAUGAGGGCGCCGGCCGGCAAAGGCGGCCAGUCGCGCGUUGCAUGGUGCAGGAGCGAAAAGGAUCCUCUUGGGGAUGUAUUGUAUAUUGAGUGCCAAUUUUAUUUUUUCGAGCGGGCCAAAUUCUUAAAAUUUUCUGACAAAGAAAUGGCAUUUGUUUUGCUUUUCAGAGUGAAAUGAACAAGAACAUGAACCGAAGAGUGCUGUAUAUUCAAAAAAAAAAAUAUAUUUUGCUCGGCGGGCGCAUCCCGCGUGCACGGAACCCCACAUGGCACGUGCCUGAGAUACCUGACGAAGAGAGCAGAUGAACACACCCUUAAUUUAAUUCGAACCAAGAAUAACAAAAACUUAGAGGUAUUUGGUUUGAGGUGUUAAAAUUUAAUAAGUACGAUAGUAUUUUCAUUUUAUUUAAUAAUUAGUGUUUGAUUAUAUAUUAAUUAGGUUUAAAAGAUUUGUGUCACAGAUUAUUCUCUAGUUAUGUUUUUAUUUUAGUAAAUAGUAAUAUGUAUUUAGUACUCCAUGUAUGUAUCUAAAUAUUCAAUGCGCUGUGAGUUAAAAAAAAUUAGCAGGAACCAAAUAGGGCCGAAGCCUCGUAUUGGAAUGUGGUCGGUCAUCAACGAUCGAAGAAAGACAUGAAUGUUUGAAACAUAACACCUUAGGGCCUUGUUUAGUCGAGAAAACAAAAUCUCAAUAUCCGCCGCGUGACUCGUUAUCAAGGGUUCACUUGAGUUUUUUUUAUCAUGUUCAUAUUAGGUUAAAGGCACGAGAUGAUGUUUUUUCCUUGCAUAAUUGCUAGUCUCUUUCAUUCUAAAUUAUAAGAUAUUUUUUUUAUAAAUACAUAGUUUCUUAUAUGCACUUGCAUAUACACUAUAUCUAGAUAUAUAAUAAAAAUAAUGUAACUAAAAAAACCAAAAUGUCUUAUAAUUUAGAAGGGAGAGAGUAUUUAUUUAUUUGUAAACUGAUCAUAAAUUAGCUGGUUGGGUUCUUUGUGGUGGAAUCUAUCCACUCGGGUUUAAGUUCUCAACUUGGCACGAGCGCUCGUUUUUUCCUGGAUUUAUUUCAUGAUUUAACGGCACAUGCUUUUAGUAAUAAGCGGCGUCACCAUCGACAGUGAGACGUUUGUGAUGACUUCGUGAAUCUCGUGACCUGUCGACUCAGUCCUUCGGAGGUACUCAUAGGGGUAGAGUUUAGGUACAUGUAUUUAUAAGGGUGAGUGUGCGUGAGUUGUGAGUGUUUGCGUUAUACUAUGUAAUUCUAAAAAAAGAGUAUUUAUUUAUUUAUUUAUUAUCAUAAUAGCAUGAUGGGUAAGUAGAUGAAAAUUUAAGGGGUAACUUUAUGUUAUGUUUUUGUAAUGGAAUAGGUGGGUAGUUUAGAUGUAACUCUAGAGAUUUUCUUUAUAUACUUUCUUCAUGACAAUAGAUGUGGGUAAUGUUUAAAAAAACAUAUUAGAUCAAACUAUUAUUAUUAUCAAUGGUAAUUAAUUAGAAUCUAAUCAAUUGAUGACUAUAUCUUUUUAAUUAUUAUGAUAAUUUAUAUUCUUCUCAUUGGGUACCUUCUAGCUAGCUAAACACUUCAUAUAUUUAUUUUUAAGUAUAUAAGGUCGGAUCGGAUGAACAUGCAUAAACGUUGCUGGCCUAAUUUCGUUCUCUGAGUCUCUCUUUUCUCAUUGGGCCAACCACUCACUAUGCUAACGAGCCCAGUCCAUCAAGUGGCCUCAGAGGCCCAGGAACAAUCCCGUUCAUCUCUCCACGUAGUCCGGCCACGCCGCGUCCUCGUUCUCGAAGCGAGAUGCGUCGCCGCCGCCGGCGGUCCCGAGACGCGAUCCGACGGCGGAUUUGGCAUCAUUCCAGCGAGGCGCUCCACGCGGAAGAUCGAGGAAGUAUCUCCAGCGGCGAUGCCUACGGUACGUACCAAACUUUUCACCCAGUCCUCGAGUAUUCUCAAUCAUGUCAGCGCUCUUCGAGCAGUUGUUAGAUGCUUUUGGCAUUUUAUUCUGACCAAACUGAUCAACCGAAAACAAACAAACAAACCAACCAGCUCUAGCUCCAACCUCAAACAACGAAGAAUCACGUUUUUGUUUUCCACACCUGUGUCAGGACGAACAGUAAGAUAUUCAGUUCUGCCUCGUGUCUGAAUUCUGUAGCAUUUUAACCUCUAAGCUGUUUUCAGGCAUAUAAUCUGAAACAGUCAUGCUUUUUUUUUUGCGAAAUGAUAUCACGUGUGCUAAAUCUUGUUGUCUUAGCCUGUCGGAUCAUGUGACAAAAACUGUUCUGUCGUGCCCUGUCGCAUUGUGCAUGACCCUUCUCUGAAACUGGUAGGAUUCCAUGACGAGCCUGUAGCUAAAACGAGCUAUGGCCUCCUGGGGGAGUGAAUGGCAGUUGUAAAAUAUUGAAUGUUCAGUGCCGCGAUUCCCUUCACUCGCAUUGGUUGCGCACGGUUUUUUGGUUUGUUGCAACUGCAGUCAAAAGUGGCUUAGAGAGUCUUGAACCAAGUACUUGGGGAAUAUGGUCCAGCCGACCACGCAUGGGUGAAUUUACUUUGGUUGUUCCUUGAAUGGCAUCUAAGGAUUUAUUUUUGAUCUGCAGUCACAAAAGUUAACUUAGACAGCAUGGCAUCUAUACCAGUGGGCUGUGGCUUCUGUAGAUUACUCUGUUUUGUAUCAGUGUAGUCAAAGGGGACCAUGAACUUAUUAGGGUCAAAACAAUCUUGCUUUACUUUCCUUUCACCUUUUCUUUUUAUGAUAAAGUUUGCUUGUAUCCUAGCUUUUGUUCCUUUGAGAAAGUGAUAGCGGCUGGGACAUGAACCUGAUCAAAAUGGACUUGACAUGUACGCAUGGAAAUCCCAUGCCGCUAUGCUUUUGUUUCUUUCUUAGGCAUGCUGUUCAGGAACAAAAAUGUUUAUGAUGCUCUAGUCAUAAAUUCAACUAAUUCGAAGUGAUAAUUGCAAGAUAAUGGUAUCGAGGUAAACUUUGUAGAUAUUGAGCAGAGGAAUUUACUCUUGAAUCAUAUAGCAUGUACGGGAGGCCUUGAGGAAUCAAACAAAUUAAGUCUGACAAAUUGUCUGUAAUCUGUAAUGUAACCGUGGCUUAAAGUUGGUAACAGUAAGCUGCUAUUUAUUUAUAAAUAAAAGGAAAAUUACUGAUUAUUUGAGGGGUAACAGUUGUCAUGCUUUGCUUUUAGAUGGAGAAGUAGAUUAUUUGACAAUGUAGAGUUGAUUAUUGGGUGGGUGGAUGUUUUGGGUGAAUCUUAUCACACUUUACCACACAGAUAUGUCCUUGUGAUACCCUUGUUUUUUCCAUGUAGAAACCAAACAUCCUCAAGUAAAUGUAGGGUCAAUGGUACUUACCGAAAGGGGGCAACCAUACAAACAAAAUUAAGAUAGCUUGGAUCCUUGGGAUUAGGCAAAAACAUGAUUAAGCUAAGAUUUUUUGACUUUGUUCUUACGUUCGCAUAACGUAUGGCUGUUUUUAUUUCUGACCAUACCUGUACUCAUUCAGAGUUAGCAUACCAAAGAAAGGUUUGUCAAGAUCAUAACAGAGGCAAGAGGAAUAUAUCUCUGCUGAUACUUAGUUGUUCUACAUCCACAAUUUUUCAGUUGGAACUGCAAUUUGUUUUUGGUUUAUAUCUGGUGAUAAUAUCAGAAAUUUUAGUUAGGAGUUUGCUUUUCGACCUACUGUCCCAGGAUCUCCUGCUACUUUUUACUUUAUGCAGAUUUUCUUUAGGUCCUGAUUUUUAACUUUGCUAGCGGCAAAUAUUAACUUAUUCAUAGUCUCCAAAGUUUAUGAUUAAGUGGAUGGAUCCUUUACGUUUCUAGUGACUAAUAAAGCUUGCAAAUCUAAGGCAUCUACCAUGCGUAGGGUCCAGUAAUUAUUAGUAGUGGGGAUUAUUGGAGGAUUUUGGUGCAAGGCUUCAUCAUUCUCCUCAGUGCAUACGUAAAAUUCUUUUCUGAUCAUGACACACAUGUCAAUGUAGUUAUUUCAUAUUGUCAAGUUUCGCUUUGACCCAAUUUUAAUUUUUUUAGAUAAAAACAAAAUUAGAAUUCGAGGGCUUAUUAUUAUUACAUGAUACAGUAAUGUAUAGCAUGGUGCUAGUGUUGUGGCGGUGCUGCUACAUAUUCAAAUUUGAAAAGUCUCAUAGUUUAUAAGUUCAGUAUACAGUUGACCAAAAUUUUGCCUUUUGACGAGUGCUUUUAUUUAUUUACACUAUUGCAAUGUGUGUUCUAAUAAUAUCCAUAGACAGGUCUGGAGCACCGCAGCCUUCCAAGAUGCCAUAAGUGCUGCUGGUUUCCAGCUCUCUACUUCUUCCACUAAGCCUACAAAGUUUAAUGUCACCAUCAGUUUGAUCCAGAGCAUCUUGAGCAUUAUCAUCCUUUGUUGGACCCUGCCUUGUUCCAUUCAAAUAAUAGCCAUUAAAAGUCCAAGACACUUUUUACACAAAUAUAUUCUCACAGCUAGAGCAUCAAGAAAAGGCCAAAGAAGAUUUGAAGUAUAGGAAUGAUAGUUGUCUCUACGAUUAGGAUCGAAAAGAUUAACUAAUCGUUAAAAGUGGUCUGGGAUAAGGGAAUCUUGGUAAGUUGCCAAUUAAAAAUUGAUGGCUAGCUUGGUUGAGCACAUUGGUUUUUUGACUUUAGUUCCGUUCUUAUCACAUCAAAGUUCAACUAGAUUACGUGACUAGCUGUAGGGAAGAUCAAGUGAAGCAUUAAAACCUAUUUAGGAAGUUCAAUGUAUGCACAGCCUGCACUUUGCCUGUGUGGAUGGACAUGCCUUUAAGCUCCAUGAUGCUUCUAUAGCUUCUAUUAGUUGCCCUCUUGGACCAUGCAUGUUCUAUAUUGUUCAUGAUGUUGUGAAUAUAAAUAUGUUAUAUAGCUAGGAUAAAUCUAUAGAUUGGGGACUGAUUUGACUUGCUCCCGUCCAUUUCAUUCAUAUUUUUUCUUCUUCUUGGUGCUGCCUUCCAAAUGAUGGAUUCGCCCUUUAAAUCUGUAGCAAGGUUGAGUGUUUAUAGGGGGACCAAGACUGCAUUUUGCUCUAAUUGUAUAUUUCUCAUUGGUGCUAAACCAAACUUAUAGUGCAAUACCCUCCUACGUACCUUUGACUUUGGAUGUAUGAAAUAAUCCCUACCUUACAUUCAUCUUUUUGUCACCUUUUGACGUUUCUACGAAUCAAUCCCCUUGUGGCACUGCAUCUUAUUAUUGUACAUAGACAUGUUAUGUUCAUCAACUUUCUCCAUCCAAAAAGGGUAUAAUUUGAGAUUUAAACAAAUCAUUUUUUCUUAAAUUUGACUAAUUAAGUUUAUACAAAAUAAUAUUAAUAUUUAUUUCUUCUAAUAGGCUUACUAUGUAUUUAGUGUUAAUUAAUAUCAUAAAUGCUAUUUUUGAACUUAAAAUUGUUGACGAAAAUUGCAUCCUUUUUGGAGUAUGUCAUCUCUUGGUCAAGCUACUUGCAUAGCAUUUUCUCCUCCUAAAGGAGGCAAUCUUUUUUGCACAAAUAAGUAGAAACGAUCGAUUCUUUUUGAAAGAAUCACAGAACAAUUCUGAAUACUUGUUUUUAGGCAGAGGACAAAUCUGAAUGCUGGAACCACUCGUUCCAAGUUCCUGUCAUGUCCCACAGCUGGCCGUUGGGCCCGCUAGUGACCACGCCUACAUUGCAUUUUUUGGGGCAGGUAAACAGCUAGCUACCUUUCAAAGAAAAAAAAUUGAGAAAAGAAUCUGGAUGUCAGUUUUGUACGAAAACUAUGGUUUUAGUGACUAAUAAUUUACUUCUUGUGAUGAUUUAACAAUGUAUGGCCACUUGGGAAUAUUCAAGUCCUAAACUAACCCUUGUCUUUGUUUUCCAGAAAAUAGGCAGACAAGUUCAGGAGAAACUUACUCGUUGGAGGAAUAUGUUUAUGUUCAGAGAAACAUGAUCUUGGGUUGCUUUGCUCCGUGCUUAAGGCUUGUCUUCAAAAUCCAAAAGCUGGUUGACUUUAUAUUCGUAGACAAUGCUACUAGACCGUGCAAGGUGGCCACAUCACGGAUCUUCUGUGAAGUGCUUCUGUAAACAACCAUUGGGUGCAAGGUAUUGUUCUGUGCUACUGACAGGUCCAAGCUUGCUGCUGCUUGUUCAUCCGGUUCAUCUCUACUCCACAGGGCAAGUUGGCCUCUGGGUCUUUUCACGAUUCCUUGUGAUUCAGGUCAGACAACUAAUGAGCUAAGUUUCUCUAUAACUUUUUUUUUACAACCCUUGCUCCUCAUAUAUUGUUGUUUUACUUGUCUAUAUACCAGUAAGUAAACUAGGACGCAAAAUGAUUGCUGACACUGCACGUACAGAUUUAUGACUUUUAUUAACAUUGUUGCUCCGUGUUAACUUGAAAAACAUAUGUCAAAUAUACUCGUAGCAAUAAUAAUCCAUAAUAGUUUGUGUGUUCUUUCUGGUGUAAACUGACUAGUGUUCAAAUGACGCAGGAAGUAGUUUUACUUGACCCAGUCUCUAUAGCUUAGAGAUUUGAUCCAAGUACUAGUGGAGAAACAUGGUUCUAGGCUCUAGUAUCAACCCACAACAUCAUUCUCUCUGGUAACCUUACACGAGGGCAAGGCACCUAGAUAGGCAAACAAAUUACACUAGACGCGAAACAACCGCAGUGGAUCCUUUCCCCUGCUGUUGUAGGACGACAAGGGCAUGUUUUAAUAAUUACAGCAGCAGGGGACAACGAUCAAUCGGCUGUGAGGCUGCCUGAGUGCCUGUCCCCUCAUAUCUCUCUCACCUGGCGUCCUGGCCACAGGCCACACCGUGUAGUACUACUGGAGAGCGUGGGCUGAAUGCGAUAUAAAAAUUUCAUAAAGAUUUGACGUGACCCUGCACUUGGAGAAUUUUUUAUAUUAGGGCCUUGUUUAGUUUCAAAAAAUUUUGCAAAAUUUUUCAGAUUCUCCAUCACAUCGAAUCUUUAGCCGCAUGCAUGGAGUAUUAAAUAUAAAUGAAAAUAAAAACUAAUUGCACAGUUUGAUCGAAAUUGACGAGACGAAUCUUUUAAGCCUACUUAGUCAAUGAUUGGACAAUUUUUGUCAAAUACAAACGAAAGUGUUACAGUAUCGAUUUUGCAAAAAAUUUUGGAACUAAACAAGGCAGUUCACCUCAAAACCAAAAUGUUUGCAAGAUUCCCCGUCACAUCGAAUCUUAUGGCACAUGCAUGAAACAUUAAAUAUAGAUGAAAAUAAAAACUAAUUACACAGUUUAGCUGUAAAUCACGAGACAAAUCUUUUGAUCCUAGUUAGUCCAUGAUUAGAUAAUAUUUGUCAUAAACAAACGAAAGUGCUACAGUACCGAAAUCUUUUCACUUUUUAGAACUAAACAAGGCCUUAGCGUUCUCCUCCUCUCAAAAAAUUGUUAUUGUUGACUUUGGAACAUCUUAUUUAACCAUCUGUCUUAUUAAUUUUUUUAUAAAUAUUAUCCAUUUUAAUGUAAAUUAUUUGAUCAUUAGAGAUACUUUAAUAAUAAUUUAUUUAUUUUAUAAUUUGAACAUAAAUUUUGAAUAAGAAAAACGAUGCCUCAAAAUAAAAAAUAUUUUUUUUGAGAGGGAGUACAUACUACUGGAUGAAAGGCUCCUAGCCAGGCUAGGCUGGAUAUAGCUCACCCCGCCCCUGCCUGGGACCUUCUGUUCUUUUUUUUCCUACGACUUUUCUCUUCAGCAACCAGCAGUAUGGCAAUUCUGUUUCGGUCGAUUGGUCAGAUCCAUCGUAGUUUGGAGCUCAACCUUUGUACACCUACUGUCGUGUACGGAGUACAUGAGUUGCUCAGGAGUAGUAGUAGCAGUAGUAGGAGUACAGAGUACUGGCUGCUGGUUGUUGAUAACGGAUACUGACUGCCUCGUUGUUAGUGCGGCAUGUAGCUACUUGUACAGCAUUCAAGUGUAUGCGAGCUAAGUGCCAUGAAAAUCAGGCCUUGUUUAGUUCACCCCGAAAUUCAAAAAGUUUUCAAGAUUCUCUGUCAUAUCGAAUCUUGCGGCAUAUGCAUUAAACAUUAUAAAUAUAGACGAAAACAAAAACUAAUCACACAGUUUGACUGUAAAUCGCGAGACGAAUCUUUUGACGCUAGUUAGUUUAUGAUUGGAUAAUAUUUACCACAAACAAACGAAAAUGCUACAGUAGUGGAAUCUAAAAAAAUUCACAUCUAAACAAGGCCUCAGUUCAAUUUCUAUAGGAUUUGAGAGGGAAAACACAAAUGAAACCUUGAUUGGGGUUCAAUUUUUCUUAGGUCCUGUUCGUUUUGCUCCUAAACCAAGAGGGUUGAGAGGGAUUAAAUCCCCUACAAGUCAAAAUCCUCCUCAAUAUACCCUUCAAUCCCUCUUAAUCCCCAUGGGAUGAAAAAUAAACAAAGGCUUUAAAGUUAGUAAAAGCAUAUAUAUAAUUGGUGUCGCAAGGAAAAAUUAGUCCCGUUAAUUGAAAUAUGCUGCCUGCAACAAAGAUGGGUCAGAUGUGUGUGUGGGUGAUAUUAAUGUCUAGUUUAUAUCCUAAUUCUUGCCAUUUAGUUUAUGCUCUUUAUUGUUUUGGUGCUUUACACACUUAAAUUUUUUAAAAGAUAAAAGAUGAACCAACCUUGGUGCAUACAUCCACACCCUCAAUUAAUUGGGCUGGCUUAGUUUCUUAAAUUUUACACAUGUAUUCACAUUUUUUUUAUAAACAUGUUACAUAGAUGUGUCAAAAUCUUUUUUUUUGGAUGUAGUAUCUUUGUAAUAACAUGUACUACCUGCAUUCCAAAUAGCCAGUUUUGGGUUUGUCACAAGUCAACCUAUUUUAAAUUUACCAGCUUCAUAGGAACAGCUGCUAUAUCAACUAAGUAUAUUGUGAGAAUUUAUUUCAUAUUUUACCUAAUGAUACUUAUUUGGUAUUCUAGAUGUUGAUAUUGUCUCCUAUAAAUUUAUUUAAACCUAACAGAGUUUGACAUAGCUAGGACACUCAGAAUUAGCUGUAUAUAUUAAUUAUUAUGGGAUAUGAAGGGAGGAGCUAUUUGUUUAUGAGUAAUCUAGAGUCUUGUAUGAGUACUCUAGUGAGUUUUGGAUGCCUUUGCAUAUCUAGCAAAGGUACGUGGAUCGGAAAGGAUAGCCCGUGUCAUGCAUCACCAGUAUUUUAUGCCAAAGAACUGAGAGCCGACCAAUAGCAUAUUUAAUCUUUUUUACUUCAAAAGUAAUAGCAGAGCAUCUCUUUUCUUAUAGACAUCCUGUGAUUCAUAUUGAAAGUGGAUAUUCGCGCUGGUGAUGAUGAGUUGAUUUCAUGAGGAUGUUUCAAUGCUUCUACACGUCAAACCAAGUACAGUACUUGAUUUGCUAUAUAUGUCUCUAAAAGACUAAAUAAAGGAAGAAAUAAUUAAUCUACUGCACAAGAUUUAUCAUGGAACAAGUUGUCAGAACGACUUUUAAGUUAUUUUGAAGUCCUUAUAUGAGCUUAUCUUCUGGUGGUACAUAUUUAAGUGAUUAACUUCCUAUAUAUAUUAGCUAAUCUAAUAGGGUAUUUAAUAGAAGAAUGUAUGGAGUUUCUUGUUAGUAGUUUCUUGCCCCCGAAGUGAGGUUUCCUAGGUGUUAACUGGUCCUACAUGCUAUAAGCGAGUGUGAUUGCAUAUCACUUCAGCCAUCUAAUAAUCUACAUUAUCUUCUCCCAUUCCAUUUUUCUUUAUUAGCUGAAUCAUUUUCAAUGUGUUUAAAGUUUUCUUUACUAAUAAACACCAUCCGGUAUAGACUACUAAAAUGCCAUGCCUUUUUUCUUUACCAUCACUUCUAAAUGUGUUCUAAGACUUGUCCAAAAGUAAUUAGCAUGCAUGAUUAGUUACCGUCUAACCUAUUACUGAGUGCAUGUAUGCUCCUAGCCGUACAAGUAAUGUCUCUUUUUUCUUAUACACUCCCUCUGUACCUGUAAAGAAAGUGGUUUAGAAUAAUGAUACGGUCUCUAAAGCCUAACUUUGACUCCUUGUUUUUAUAAAAAUAUUUAUCAAAAAGUGGUAUAUAUAUGUUUUUAUAAAAGUAUUUUUCAAGACAAAUCUAUUUAUUUUUAUAUUUCCAAACUCGACAACUUAAAAGUUAUUUAUAAUUUAUAUAUUCCUAAUGUUUGACUCAAACCUUGUCCAAAACGACUUUCUUUUGUCGUUGUCUUCCUAAUAAAGAGAGCUAAUGAUAUACGCCAUGUUCUACAACACUAUUUUAGUAUUACUUUUUAAUGAAUGAACAAUGUUUUUCUCUCCCAACAUUUCAACAUAACCAGCAGCAUAAUCCAAGUUCCUAGCAUAAGCAACAGUAGAACUCUUGCGAACUCAGCUCACCUUUCGUCUUUCAUGGCAUGUGCAAUCGUGCAUGGUACAUCUCAUCAUACAUUACUACAAGAUCUGAUCUUUCUCUCAUGUGAAUCCGUGAGACUGUGACCGCCAGAUGCGCACAUUACUCUGACCCUCUUGACUUUGGUGCCAUGGAGAGAAGAUCCUGAAAGAUGUUUGUUCGUUUGACUUUUGCCUAUGUGUUGUGUUGUUGGGAACUGGGCAAGGGGCAAGGAGUUGUUGGGUGCGAUGAUCUGACGGGAUCGAACUGGAGUGUGUUAGGUCUGCAUCUUUCUUGCAGAGAGCAGAAAAGACACCCCAGGCCAUUGAUGAAAGGCUAGAGUUCUCUACUAUCAAUGGGUUCAAGUGGUUGCUAGUUUUAAGAACCCUAUUUGAGAUGGAAUAAUCCUUUUCUAUCUGUUGCAUUACAUCAGAUGUCAAGUCUCCGACUGGAAGCACAUGGAACAGUUUGCACUCAUAGCAGGUUCAACCAUUGGCUGGCUACAUAGGAUUAGGAGAGGGGAGAGAGACAGAGCGAAAUAGGAGAGAGAAUAUAGAAAAGGCUAUGCAAAAAAGUGGCAGCAAAAAAACAAUAUGAGUGGGGGCGAUAUACCUUUUGUAGAUUUGUUUGCGUUAACAAUUGCCAUGUCCUCUUUGGGCUAAUAUAAUCCUUGUUAGUUUAUCUCUCCUUUUGGCAUGCAUGGACCUUUGGUCCCCAUUCGUCCUUGAGUGUGCUCCCCCUCUCAAUAGCGUGGCUUUCCCUUCCUUCAACUCCACUCAAGACUGUGCUCCUCCUAGCUACUUAAUCUUGAUGCCAAGCAACGAGGCUGCUCCAAACCUCGAUCAGCUUCCUCUUUCUCAUUCUCUCACAAACACAUAGUACUCCUACAUAUCAGGAGCGCUGUUCAUCAAGGAGUGGUCCUGGGAGAGAUGCUGUACCAGCGGGGUUAGAUUUUGGAACAUGUCAAAUCACAGCAUUUGAUGCACCAGGAGGUAAAGUCACAAGUUUUUUCUCUGUUUUUUUUCUUCGUUUCAACUAUUACUUUUAUCUCUACUGUUUGAGUGACGCGUGAGAGAGUGAGAGCCAGCUGCUUCUGUUUGUUGCCUUGCUCACUUUGGGCAUUUCUCACAGUGGUCUCAUGCCAAGUUUCCCCUUCCUCUUCAUGCUACAUGCUUACAUGCCUUGCCUUGAGGUAGUAUGUAAGAGCAUGCCGCGGCAGGGAAGAGUGACUAGAGUAGAUUCCCUUGGUGCACACAAGUUAGCCACAGGCGCCAGUGGUAGUCUAGGGCCUUGCACACAUAUGCAAAGAUCUCUUCCCUCUUGCCACAAGGGAUAAGAUCUCUCUCCCCUAUGACUUUUUGUUUCUUUUGGCCACUGUAUGUGUAUGCUACUUGUAUUGCUCUCUGUCUCUCUCCAUGCAUGCAUAUGCAUAUAUUGCCAUGUACUAUACAUAUUCUGAUGCCAUGAGUAUAUAUACGUGUACAAAAUAUUUUUGCAGAGUUGGAAGCAAAGGGAGGGAUGAUAUCUGCAGCUGCUUGACACAGAGGCACAUGUCCCUUUUGGUGGGCAAUGAUGGUGUGCAGGUGGAGGUGAUGAUAGUUUGCCUCAUCUGGGGACUGAGACAUUCCAUCCAAGGCCGCCCAGUGUCAUGCUGCCUCACAUUCACAGCUUUCACCCCUGGCUGCUGCAAUAUUCCAUUUGUUUGCUAAUGUGUUGUAUCAAGAUGCCUUCGAUGUGAGUCCUCACUGCCCGGCCUUCUCUCUCUCUCUCUCAUGCAUCAGCAUGCGUGUACAUACACCUGCACUCACUGUUGCUUGGGCUAGGAUUGCAUGUGAUCCUGCAAGCAAGAACGUAGCCGCUAGCCAAUCGGGGACGAGUGUAGCUGCAGGUUAGGCCUUGUUUAGUUUCCAAAAAUUUUGCAAAAUUUUUCAGAUUUUCCGUGACAUUGAAUCUUUAGACGUAUGCAUGAAGUAUUAAAUAUAGAUAAAAAUAAAAACUAAUUGCACAGUUUGGUCGGAAUUGACGAGACGAAUCUUUUGAGCCUAGUUAGUCCAUGAUUGGACAAUAUUUGUCAAAUACAAACGAAUUGCUACAAUGCUCAUUUUGCCAAAAAUUUUGGAACUAAACAAGGCCUUACUUGUGGUAUCAACAAGCAUGUGUGUGCAAUGUGCAGCACUGGCAUAGCGAGCGCCAGGUGAGGGUGCGGUGUGCUCUUCUUCGAUCUCGCAUCAGGGCCGAUCGAGCCAUCAAUGGAGAUCCCACCCUGGGACAAAACAUGAUAUGGUUGGAGAGUCGGCUCUGUCUAGUCUCUAUUCACCCAUUUAAAGCAUUGCGUGUUUGUGUGCACACUCACAUAGAGAGAGAACAGACACAGAGAGAGAUGGUAGCCUAGCCGUCCAAAUCGUCAGACUAUAAUACUGUGUGCAAAUCUUUUGGAAAGGGAGCAUCCUGAGGCUUCCACAAUGAUUAAAAGAGUUCCAACUUGCACUGCCUAUUACUAUCAAGAUCAGCAAACAGGUUUCACACUAAUAUAAGCAGCAAGCUAAAACUAGGCAAAUAACAAAACAGGAUUACUGGUAUUAAUGAAAAGCCAUGCAUUCAUGCUAGCUUGCACUACUACCCAACUUAAAAGCGCGGAGAACUAUAAAAGCGUGCAAGACCAGUGUGAUCAUUAGCUAGGUGCAAAUAGAUCGACAAAACCAGUCUUCUUAGAGAAGUUCCUAUCUACUCCCUCCAUACUUAUAAAAAAUCAUAUUAGAUAAGGUUUGGGUCAAAUAUUGAAAAUAUAGAUCAUAAAUAACUUUUAAGUCAUUGAGUUUAAAAAAAAAAGAAAACCAUAUGAAUAGAUAUGUCUUGAAAAAUACUUUCAUACAAAUAUGCAUAUACCACUUUUUGAUAAAUAUUUUUAUAAAAACAAGGAGUCAAAGUUAGGCUUUGGCAAUGUUUUUCUAAACGCUAAACGGUAAACAGUCGGUCACCUCUCAUUUAGCCAUUAUUCGGGCUAAGCAGUCCAUUAAACGGCCUAAACGGAUGAUUAAACGGAAACGGUAAUACCACUGUCUAGCGUUUAAAUGGUCUAAACAGCUGUUUAGGCAAACAGUGGGCUUUGGAGACCACAUCACUGUCCUAAACGCCUUUCUUUUAUAUAGGUACAGAGGGAGUAUUGUCUAAUGAACAAAAUUAUACAUGAUCUUGUCAUAAACUUUUAGGAUGUUAAUUUGUACAGAAAAAACAUUAAUACUGCCCCAGAAAAGUGGACACUUGUCCAAUUUAACUGGUCAAACAAAGGUGCAUGGUAUGGUCACAAGAUGAUUUCCUUGCAUAAUAUAUAAGACACCAUAGUUUGAUUAUGUGCAUUACUUCCACUGGUCAACAACAUGUUACACAAAGAUCAGCUAGUUUCAACAAUUGGAUUGGAGGUAUUCUAUCCUACCUGUUUUCUUCAACCAUGCAUAUGCCCAUCGACACACGAAUAGAUAAUUUGCAAAUUAAUUUCUAUAGUGAUUUGGCUACUUGAAAAUUCAAUCUUGUGUGUAUGUAUUAUCACCAUAUAUAUGAGCUGUAGAUAGACAAGGUUUUCUUUCUAAAUAAUAUUUACUCAAUACUUACGGUAGGAAAUCCUGUACAUUUCACAACUCUUAUGGAUCCAAGCAUUGUUCUGUAGGUUGAGGCCGCUCUUCAACGACAUAAAUGUGUAGUUUGGCUCCUAGCUUAGAUCAUUUUUUUUGUUUUUGUUUAGUGUAAUAAACUUUGUUGUAUUCGGUGCUGUCUAAGACUCCCUUCCCGGCUUGGACUAGCUUGUGUUCACACUUUGUUCCCUCUUAUUAAUGAAAUACGUUCUUAGGCAUGUUUAUAAAAACAAGAGUGAGGUUCAGAUAAAAAAAACAAUAUGGUGACUUUUCAUUACAUUGACAUUUAUAUACUUGAUUAUCCACAUACAUAAACAUUUCUAACAUUCAAAAUUUGUCCAUAGAUAUAAGCAUUUCUUACCUAAUCUGACCCUCUAGUAGCUCCUCUCCCUAGCUCAUGGUUCAUACACCUACCAUUUAUGGCAUCAACUACAUGAAUAGGGAGGAGCUAAUUGCGUGAUUGAGGAGCACCAUAGUGAUUUUCUGUCUUCCUUAAUCUGUCCUAAAUAAAAAUUCUAUAAAUGGGUAUAUUUGUAGCCAAGAGAGUAAGAAACUAUAUAGUUGCUAUGAAUUCAUACAUAAUGGAAUUUUCCUCUCUACCUUUUUUCUCUUUAUAUUGCUAAUUUGAGGUUUCCCACUAUGCUCAAAAUGUCUGUUUAUGAAUAUUUCUAUUUUUGACAAAAUUGACUUUUUCUUUACAUCACCAUUCGCAUAAAAUAGUCACUAGUCUAUUUUAUGGUACAUGGUUUCCGUCUAAUCAACCAUUUACCUUGUUUAAAUACUCAUUUCCCUCAUUUAAAUGUCAAUUUAGUCCAAUGAUGGCUUCAUGGUAGGCGAUUACUGUUAGCAUUCAGUGUCCAAGAAAAAAAACAUCUUUAUAUUCAUAUAAAACUCAACCUUUUGUUUUGCACUUUUUCAUUCAUGCAAAAUUUCAUUGACAUCCCAAUUCAUGCAUUUUCUUGUGUCCUAUUGUGUUAUAUGUUGGCCCUUAGAUCUGUUUGUUUAAGCCCCUUGCAUAAUCCAAUUUAUUUCAGCUUUUACAAUUAGCUUGUAUGUUACCAAAAUGUCACCAAACAACCCAACUCAUAAUAAGUCAACUUAUAACCAAUGUUUUCCUAAACGCUAAACGGUAAACAGUCGGUCACCUGCUGUUAGCCAUUAUUCGGGCUAAACAGUCCAUUAAACGGACUAAAUGGAUGAUUAAACUGAAAUAGUGUACCACUGUGUAGCGUUUAUACGGCGUCUAAAUAGUCAUUUAGGCGAACAAUGCUUAUAACCUAGGACACUUAUGAGGGCUUUUUCGACUGCACUUAUGUGGAGCACUAGCUGCAGUGCUACACAUAAGUGCAGCCAAACAUGCCCUUAGCUUAUAUAAUCCUAUAAGCUAUCUAGAACUAACUUAUUUCAACUUUUUCCCCACACCUAUAAGUUUGAUUGUUUAACUGAUGUUGGAGUAAGCAAACUAGCUCUUAAUAGAGGUGUGUUGUACAUUGUGUUGGAGCACAAGAAACAUAAUAUCUUCGAAGCAUAUGUAAAAUCUAGAAAUACUGAGGGUUAUUUGGAUCUUAUGGGCUACUAACCAUUAGCCUUAGAUUUUGGAUGCUAAAUAGUAGGGCAAAGUAUGAGCUAAUAAGAGAUAACGGAGACUAACUGAUGGUUAGAUCCUAAUAGCACACAAUUGUGAUAAUGGGUUAAACAUGGGGCUAAACAUGAGAGUAGCAUCCAUUUUGUGUAUACACACAAGCACACGAGGAACCAAUGAUCAUCAUCCAGUUCUCCUGGCUGGCUAUGGCAUUGGAUCCAAUGAGCACGCACACGGAGAUAUCCUUACAUUGCUCAUCUGUCCAAUGUCUCUAUCCACCCAUCGUCCCAUCCAUCUGGCUAGCUAGUAGCCUUGUACUCGAUCUUUUUGUUUUUUGUUUUCCCCUUUCUUUAUUAUUAGUUAAGCACAUAUACCACAUAAAUUUGGAAUUGUUGGAUUCAUAUUUGGAAGUAUUUUUCAUAUGAUUUCAAUCGUGAACUGUUUAAUGUAUGAGAUGUUGACAAUAAAAUUAACUGAAAAGAGAAGAGAAGAGAAGAGAAGAGAAGAAAGGAGUACUAAUGUAAAGCAAGCUAGCUUGGCACAUAGUUUUUAGUAGGAGAGUAAUAGAGAUUAGUAGUUUGUUGGCUUAGCGUAACGAGUUAGCUCCAGAUAUGAAUCUCUGGUUGUUUAGGCCCACCAACACCGUACCAAUCCAUGGAAUGUUUUAGUUAGAUUCCUCCUCUAUUCCUUUAAACCUCCCCAAAAUCACACGCACCACGAUCCACCAGAUAAAAGACAACUCUCACUCCUCACCCUUGCUGCCACCUUUCCCCUCCCUUCCCUCCCACUUCUAUUCCUACUAGCUCCUAGAGAGAGAAAGCAUCCACUUCUCUCUCUCUCUCUCUUUCUUACACAAUGCAUCUACUAGUAGCUGCUACUAGUAGCUAGGCUAGGCUAUGGCCGAGUAGGUAGUGGCAAGGUACUGUGUAGGAGUAUAGCUGAUGAGGUGCUGCAGGCCUGCAGCCUCUCAGACUCUCACACAAGCACACCUCUGUAUUUUUGGCAGAUGAGGAUGUACUGUCAAGGAAGCUGCAGCUGCGAGGCUCCCAGCCCCAGCCCCAGCCUCAGCCUCCCCAGAUGCUGCUGCUGCUGCUGGACGUCGUGCGCCCCUAUUAAACCGGCCAGGAGAUGAGAUGCACGUCCUUCCACUCCACCCCCUCAUGCUCCUCGCCUGCCAUCACCGCCGACUCCGGCCGCCGCCGUUCCUCGUCGCGCCGCUGAAGAAGAUUUCAAGAAGCUCGGCCUGGGCGGAACGACGACCGUCGUCCAAGCUAUGCUCAGCUCACUCCACCACCACCACUCCUCCUCCUCCUCCGACACCGACACCAACAAUGGCAACAACAAGAACGGCAGCAGCGGCGUCCUCGCGGCGGCGGUGCCGUCCGCGCGGGACCUCGUGCUGGCCUGCGCCGACCUGCUGCAGCGCGGGGACCUCCAGGCCGCGCGCCGCGCCGCGGGGGUCCUCCUGUCCGCGGCGUCCCCGCGCGCCGACGCCGCCGACCGGCUCGCCUACCACUUCGCGCGCGCGCUCGCGCUCCGGGCGGAUGUCAGGGCCGCCGCCGUCGCCGCUGGCCGCGUCGUCGCCCCGGGCUUGGUGGCUUCCGCCGCUACUUCCUCCGCCUACCUCGCGUUCAACCAGAUCGCGCCCUUCCUGCGCUUCGCGCACCUGACGGCGAACCAGGCCAUCCUCGACGCCGUCGAGGGCGCGCGCCGAAUCCACAUCCUAGACCUGGACGCCGCGCACGGCGUCCAGUGGCCGCCUCUCCUGCAGGCGAUCGCCGAACGCGCCGACCCGGCCGCGGGACCGCCGGAGGUGCGCAUCACCGGCGCCGGCGCCGACCGCGACACCCUCCUCCGCACGGGCAGCCGCCUCCGCGCCUUCGCCCGCUCCAUCCAGCUCCCGUUCCACUUCACGCCGCUCCUGCUCUCCUGCGCCGCUACCCAUCAUCAUCAGCACGUCGCCAGCGGGAGCACCACGACGACCACCAAUUCGAGCGCGGCCUCGAGCCUGGAGCUGCACCCGGACGAGACGCUGGCUGUCAACUGCGUCAUGUUCUUGCACAAGCUAGGCGGGCAGGACGAGCUUGCCGCCUUCUUGAAGUGGGUGAAGGCCAUGGCCCCCGCCGUGGUGACCGUCGCGGAGAGGGAGACAAUCGGCGGGGGUUUCGACCGCAUCGACGACCUGCCACAGCGGGCCGCGGUUGCCAUGGACCACUACUCGGCCGUGUUCGAGGCGCUCGAGGCGACUGUGCCGCCGGGGAGCCGGGAGCGGCUAGCGGUGGAGCAGGAGGUGCUCGGCAGGGAGAUCGACGCCGCGCUGGAUGCCUCCGGUGGGAGGUGGUGGCGCGGGCUCGAACGGUGGGGAGCCGCGGCGCGCGCCGCCGGAUUCGCGGCGCGGCCGCUCAGCGCGUUCGCCGUGUCGCAGGCGCGGCUGCUGCUGCGGCUGCACUACCCGUCGGAGGGCUACCUCGUGCAGGAGGCGCGCGGCGCGUGCUUUCUCGGGUGGCAGACGCGGCCACUGCUGUCCGUGUCGUCGUGGCAGUAGCCCACCACCGCCACUGUGGACGAGCCUUCUACCGUACCUGCCGCGUGCAUGCAUUCAUGCCGCCAUUGCCGGCGGCGGCGGCGACGGACUAGGGUUUGGCUCGCUCUCACUAGUCAUCACUACCGCAUAUAUAGAGCUAGAGUAUAUAUAUGAGAGCAUUGCAUUUUGUAGCAAUAAUAUUGGUGGUUACUUGUUACGUACGUAUUUAGCAAGAUCUCAUGGUGAUUUUGGAGGAUGAUGAUGAGUUUGUUGGGUUAAUUGCAAGGAGGAAACCCUAACCCUAGCUUGCUGUGGUUUAAUUGCUGUUAAUCUUAGCUGCUUGGAUGGAUGGAUGGUUGGUUGAUUAAUACUCUCUUGUUGAUUUGAGGCGUUCAGUUCAUAUAUAGCCUUGCAUGCAUGGAAUGGCGGCAAGUGAAGGGGUUGGCCUUUAGGCUUGGUUAGGCUAGCAAUUGCUUCAAAUCGGCUUUGCUAUAUAUAUCUAUUUCUUCUUUCAUUUGUUUCUCUCGGUAGCUCAUGUGAGCAUUCUAUAUUUCUAUAUACAUAGUUUAAUUACUAAGGAGAUUUUUUUGUCUAUUUUUGUUGGAGACCGACCUAUUGCAUUGUUAUUGUUAUUUGUUAAUAAUUUUGAUGUGAGAGAUCCUGUUACUCUAGAUUGUCCUUCUUCUCGAUACAUAUUUAUUUGAGAGAGGUUUUGUUUAAGUUGGACGUGUGAUCUUGCAGAAUGUCCUCCUCUGACCGUUCUUCAUUUUUAUUCAUGUGUCAUGCACUACCGGAAAACCGGACGUUGCCGUGUGCCCUCAUGUUUGCCGUGAGCAAUACGUCGGGCACACGGCAAAGAGGCGAUUUGCCGUGUGCCACCCAGGCCAACACACGUCAAACAUUCGGCACUCGGCGUUUACGUCCUUCGCCGUGUGCUAAACAGAAGAGCACACGGUGAAAUCAAUAGAUUUGCCGUGUGCCGAAGAAAAACACACGGCGAAAGUUAAACACACGGUGAAGGAGCUAUUUGCCGUGUGCUAGCACGGGGCUCACAGCAAAAUUCUGACGCCGUCGGCCACCGUUGGCUGCCGUCAACUCUUUGCCGUGUGCCGUCGUGACGUACCACGCCCAGUACCUUUUUCGGAAGGUGACCAAGGAACAAGCGAGAACCAUGUCGCUGACCAAGGAAGAAUACAUGAAGGUAAAUGUGCAACAAUAAUAAUAUUUUCCUUAAGUAACCUUUAUAUGAUCUUCUUAUAUGUCACAUGCUUGAUGGCGUGUAGGUUCCUCCGUGGUGGUGCAAUACGAAAAUCCAGUGCUGGGAGAUGAUGGUGGACAGGUGGUUCGACCCUGAGUGGCAGGAGGCGCACAAUCAAGGCAGGGAGCGGCGCGCCAUGAUGCAAGGUCCAUCGCACCAUCAAGGCAGUCUUAGCCUUGAUGCAUGGAAAGCUAAAUGGGUAAGUUGAAUCCAUUUUUUGUCCUAAUGCUUAAUUUGGCAUUACUUAUAAUCAUUGUGUUAUUUCUUUUUCAGUCGAAUGCACAUGGUGGUGAGCAAAUUACCAACUUCCAGGCGUAUGCUAUGGGGCACCAGACCAAGUACUCGACAGCCGCUCGCUAUGACCCAGCUGCCCCCGCUUCGUCGUACAGCAACCCCUCCGUCCACGCACGCCUCACUCAGUACAUAGAGACGGCAAAGGAGGUAUAUGGGCCAGAGUACGAUCCCGCCACCCACGACAUUGAUGGAGAAGUCGUCAUGAGGGCGGGAGGAGGAAAGGUUCGUGGCCGGUACAUGAUUGGCCACGGCAGCUUGGAUUCUGGCGAGGUUCCUAGCCUAUCCCAGAUCCGAGCAAGGAGCACAGGCACGAGCGCGCCCAUACGCCAACGACCAAACACUACGAUGAACAUUGUGGCGGACCUCCAGGUAAUUUCUAUUUUAUUCGCCAUUCAUUGAUUUCGACAUAUGUUUGCUUCACAUUGUAACAUUGCCGUCAAUUGUGUAGGAGCGGCUGGCAGAAUCGGAGAGGCAAAGGGACGAAGAAAGGAUAAGGAGGGAGGAAGAAGCGCAGGCUAUGCAAGCCAGGAUGAAUGCAAUGUACGAGUACUUGCAAAACCUUGCACCUGCUAUUGGUCAACCUCCUCCGCCAGCUAUGUUGUUCCAACCUCAAACUCCUCCUUUCAGCACUCCUGUGAGUUUGGCUUUUAUUUAUAAUUUUUGUUAAGUUCAUAUAUCCGUUGUCACAAAUCACACGUGUAUUUCUAACCUUUGUCUGACACAAGCAACAUAUUUAUCUUGUGCAGAAUCAGUCGGCGGCGUCAAACAAUCCACCUCCUGGGCAACAAGGGGAACAAGGUGGACCGUCGAGGUAGGUGGAUGAUGGACUUUGUGAUGGUUGUGAUAAUGGACUUGUGAAGGAUGUGAUGUACUUGUGAAUGAUUUGUGAUGGUUAUGGACAUUUGAAGGAUGGAUUGUUAUGGAUUUGUUCGGAUUUGUGAUAUAUAUGUCGUAUGUGAGCUCUAAAUGUUAUUUGUGAUAUAAAUGUGAUCUGUGAUGGUCUGAGUAUAUAUAUAUAUAUGUGAUUUGUGUGUUUCUUUUGAUGGGGAAGCAAAUAAACAAACCAAAAAAAAAAUUUGACCAAAUUCGCCGUGUGCAGCACACGGCAUAGAGGUCCUUUGCCGUGUGUCCGCGGCAUGGCACACGGCAAAGAGGCCUACCAGAGCCACCUGGGAAGCGUCUUUGCCGUGUGCCGCAGGAUUUGCCGUGUGCUGUAGCCACGACACACGGCAAAACAGGCCAAAUUCGCCGUACGUUGCUCACGGUAAAGAAAUCUACCGAAACUCUAUUUAAAAUUAUUUUCUGAUUUUUUUAAUACACACUUUGCCGUGUGCUGGCUGAGUGGGCACACGGCAAUGUUUAUUUUCAGAUUUUUUUUAAUGAAAGGUUUGCCGUGUGCUGCCUGAGGGGGCACACGGCAAAGACGUUUUUCUUUUUUUAAAAAAUAAUUACUUUGCCGUGUGCCCGGUGAGCUGGCACACGGCAAAGCUUGCCGUUACGCAGCCCGCGGCGUUAAGUCACUUUUGUGUGCCGAGUGCCGUGCCAAGCGCACGGCGUCAUGUUUUGCCGUGUGCCCGACAGAAGGCACACGGCAAAGAAGCCGUUCGCCGACUGGCCCUGUGCCGUGCGCGUUUUGCCGUGUGCCCCUCACGGCGUAAGUUUUGCCGUGUGCCUGAGGCACUUUGCCGUGUGCCCCAGGCACACGGCAAAGCACGCAAAUCCGGUAGUGAUGUGUGUACAAUAGUUUAUUUUAAACUAUAUCGGAGGCAUGGAGGAGGAGGAUCUUCUAGCUCCUAGCUAGCUCACUUGCAUGGCUUGGUUAUAUAAACAUUCCAGCACUUCACUUGCCUGUUGGCUCUUGAUGCCGUUGUUUGUAUUUAUAUCCAAUCAUGCGUGCUUUGGCUAGCACUAGCCAUAAACUAAUGGCCAUUUUGGUAGUCUGUUUGUGUGGGUGUAAUCAUCACUCCCGCGGUGUUGCAACUUGCAACAGGCCACAAUAUAUAUGCAUAUAUGUAUAUAUACAUAGUAGAUGCUAAGACAACCUAGUGUUUUUCUAAUGUGCUCUUGGCAGAAAGAAAAUUGGUGUGUCUCCUCUUCUGCCCAGGGAGAAGGGGUUUGGGUUCUUGUUUUCUGUGUUAUGCCCCAGAUAUGCUGGUAAGCUGUCUUUGGGAGGGCAUGGCAGUGGCAUGAUCCCAUGCAUCAAUGCCAACCCUAAUCCCUGCCCCCUGUCCCCUCAAACAAAAUCAUGGGAUUUCUCAAAACCAGGCCACCCCUUUUGGUGGCCAGCUUGCUCCUACCCGGCCUUAAUCCCCUCUUCUCUCUCCUGGCUAUGUUCCCUGCCCCUCUUCUCUGUUCUCUGCUCUCUGUGAAAAGAUCAUUCCCUUUUGGAAGGCCCCAUCUUCUCUUCUUGAAUUCUUUUCUCUCUCCAUUUCCUUGGGAUCUUUGCAUGCAUGCAUGGCUUCUUAAUUUGUUCCUCAAAGAGAGAACCAUGGUAUGCCCUACUACUACUUUGCAUUUGAUUCCUUCGAUGCUUGCUUGUCUCUCAUGUUUAUUUAUAUAAUAUAAGUAGGUAGAUUGGUACCACUCCUUAAAGUUUAUACCCACGCACUACAGUUAUGUUUGCAUGUAGGAACUUGGGAAAAUGGAAAUUAACAGAAUGAGUGAAAAAGACAGGUACAAGAAAAUUUGCAAGAGUUCUCAGAGCAUCUCUGACUACUUUAUCAAUUCAGAAUUUCGUUCUUUGAAAAAUUAACAUAAUAUAAUUAACAUAUGCUCUUUUGCUUUCUUUUAGUGCGACUUCCAAAAAUGAUAAUAUAAUGGAGGGUUUGCCAGGAUUAUCUAUCUAGACCAUAGAUGUACCAUCGUAUCAUUUUCAGCUUACCUUUGUUAGAAGCAAAUCUAGUUGGUGCUCACAAGAGAAUACAAUUUAUUGUUUGCAAGCAUAACUUUGUACUUCAAAACAAUUAAACAUUACCUUUUUUGGAAGUAUCAAAUAAUUGUUUUUGGUAUAUUAUUAGCACCAGUCCAUUGUAGAAAGCAAGAAGAAAACAAAGAGCGAAAGUAUCUAUACAUUUAAGGUAUAUAUAGUUCCAUGCUUACUCUAGCUUCAAACUGUAUCUAGUAUAUAUAUAUUACUUUUUGUCACGCCGCCUAUUUUUGAACUUAAAUAUACCAUGUAUGCAUCAACCUGAUGAUAUAUAAAAGAAAACAAUGUAAAUGCCAUCUUUCUGCACUUUUAGUGGCCCAAAUUUUAUUUCACAGGAACUAAUUAAUAGGAGAGACAGAUGCAAAAUUUGGUAUUCAUGCAUGCUUGCAAUAUAAUUAUGUGAGCCUCCUGCUUACUUAUUCUUAAACCUUUUGAGGUUAGAUUCAUUUCAAAAUCAUCGUGGAUGUUUCACAUAUAGCAAUAUUCAUCUCUUCAGUAAAAAAAAGUGGGAAAUAUAUGCAUGCUUGGCAGCUAGGUAUUCACAUAUCUUUAAACAAUUCGGCAUUUGGCACAGAAUUUUGGCCGAAGGGGCAGUACAUCCUAUAGUGUUUUUGCUGUUGUUCCUGCAUCGCCAGGGUAUCUUCAUCUCGAUCUAACUUAUUCUACCUUAAUUCCUUUUGUUUGGAGGGACAGAAAAGCAUCUCUUAUUUUAUUUAUAAUCUGUAUCUAAUAUUAAGACAUAAAGAAAAAAAUUUCAGUCGUUUUUUUUUUACUUCCCACACCCACACACACCCUCAUGCUCUUAGUGCUCUCUGUAUGUGAAUUGAACUCAUGACCCAUUACUCAUAGUCUCAUACAAGUUGCUAGAACAAUUCGCAUCAAUUUCAAGACGCUUCAGCUGUCAAGCAACUUAUUAAUUAUGUAUUGGAUGAAGAGAUGACGAUCUUUGGAUAUAUAUUUGAGCUCCAAAUCGUAUCUAAGUGACCGUGCACAACACACACAAGCACAUUUGCUAGUUAUAUGUAUAUACUGCCCCAGCUAUAUACAUACAUCCCAGACAUAGUUAUACGGACUAUAUAUAUAUAUAUAUAUAUAUAUAUAUAUAUAUAUAUAUAUAUAUAUAUAUAUAUAUAUGCCUACUGGAGAUCCUAUAUUAUAUAUUGUAAAAUCACAUCGAGCACAAAAUGUCCAAACAUAACAAGCAGUCAUGCAUGCAUUCGUAGCCUCUUAUUAUAAAAAAACGAGGAAACACAGCAACGCACACUCGCGUAAAAAGGAGUGGCUGUAAUAAAAAAAAACAAGCGUGUUCUUAUCCUCUGAAAAGAAGUGACAAGAAAAGGGAUGUAGGACUGGAUGAAGCAAUUCUGCUAGCUGUCGCAUAGCAAAAAGUUUCUUCAUAGAAUUGUCACUCGAUCGAUCGGUGGAUCAUAUGCAUAGGCUUCGAUUACUCCCUGGAUUUUGAGAGAAUCUUCAACUGAACUUUUUUACGAUAUGAGAGAUUGAGAUGAUGUUAUGGGACGUGAACUUCGUCAACGUCCAAUGAAUCUUUAUCAACAUAUACCUUUGUAGUAAGCUUCCUGAAUGAUUGCCAUUCUUACUGAGUAGCUAGAUGGAGGAGUAGAUAGAUAGAUAGACAUAUAGCACGACCGAGACAGAGAUGGCUCACAUCAGCUAGCUAUAUAUACAGAGCUGCAGCUAGCUUCACCAUUCGUAAUGUGUCACAUGCGUCGUCGUCGAUCCUUUGUAGCUAUGGCACGCGGUUCAUCAUGAGGACAUUUGGCAUCUAGCUUAUUAUAAGUUCAUGCCGGGCGAAUUGUUCUUUUCUAUGUUUAAUUUUGACAGUAGGAUGGUAUUACAUAUAUUGCUUGAAAUAUCGAUCAACAAUAAUUGCCUUAUGUACGUAAUUCAGAUGCAAAUUUAACCACUUUUGUUUUUGCCUUGACGUCAAAUUAAAAUCCGUCACGAAUAAAAGUAAAAAGCAUCGUGAUCCGCAACAUCUUCCCGGCAAAAUCAUGCGUGCUACGGAUAGGCUUAUUAGGAGGAUGCAGAUGCAAUUAGUUGCAGUUACGUACUCCUACAGCAUAUUGAACAUUUCCUUUGCUUGUCAAAGAAACAGCAGACGCAAUCCACAGAAGUCGUCCCGCUGGUUAAGGCUGCCAGAUCAUAAAUUUUGCAGGCUACUGCUGCCUUCUAGUACUAGUACUAGAGAAGCUGAUGCUCUCCCUUGCCAUGCAUGCAUUUACUCUCUCAUGCAUAUGGCAGGGCAGCAGCUGCAUCAGUGACGACAGGCCAUGGAAAAGAAGAAUGUGUGUGUUCUCUGCUGACGCCGCCUUAGCAGCUAUGCUGUGGUGUCUUGUUCUACCAAGAUCAGAUUUUGUUUUUCUCUCAUAAUAAAUUAUCAUCAACAGCUAAAUGUCAGCAAGCUUCUUCAGUGCCAUAGAGGAGUACAGCAGACGUAUGGUGUGCUAGCAUACUAUACUUGGUUUCAAAAAAAAGUGAACCAGUACCACACUAGAGUUUUUCAGGUGUUUUGUAUGGAUUUCAGGCUCUGAUGGGACAUUACAUGUGUAAUGACAUAAUGUGGACACUGGAUAGUACAGGCGCCAUGAUUUCAGUAAGCAGCAUCUACACCAGUAGAAUAGAUGGAGUACUAGGGGCUGCUUCAGCACAAGAUAAUGAGUGCAAGGAAAGGGAAGCAAUGCAACUGACUUGCUUGCCCACCUGCUGCCUGAAUGCCUGAUGAAUGGCUGUGUCCAACAGCUAUGCAGCCAACAGGGUGGUACUCACAGCAUUCACUGCAAUGAUAGGACGACAGGAUCAGCACACAUCACAAUUCACAACUGUGCAGUAGACUUGCCAGAUCUCUGAUGAUUGGAUUCCGCUAGAUUUCUAGAGGAGCUAGCUACUAUCAGCUCUACUAGCUAGCUGCUUACUUCUAGUACACCAUUCGCGUUUCCAUGCAUGAAUCUUUGGGGAGCAUCGUACUGCUGGUAGUAGAAUCUUCAUAUACUCUUCUCUUUAAUCCACACUCAUGCAACCAUGCAUUCAUUGCUCAGAGCGAAGCUCCAUGAAUGAUACAGAAGAUCGAUGCAUGAGAGCAUUGCGCAUCAGUGAUCAAGUGUUAUGCUGCAUCUACCUGCCAGCUAGUCUGCUUUAAUUUGCAUGCCCCAGUUUGGUGUUUGCAGGACACACUAAAUUAAAUGAAGCCGAUCAUGUAUCUACGUAAUUGGGAAUUUUUAAUCUUCGCAAAAACCAAAAGCUAUACAUAGGUACGGAUAUAGCGAACAGAAAAUUGGAUGAUGGUUUGGGUCCCAUAUAUGCAUCUUUGUCAAGGGCAGAGGUCAAUCAGUGCAAUAUGUAUGCAUGCACCGCGAACAAAGUAUAUGAUCUUGGCGUCCAUCAUUAUCUCCAACAAUCGUUACCCAAAAUACAAUACCCAUUUAUCCUUUGGGUAGCGCUACAAGUAAAAGGUUUCAUACCUAUUUUUAGUCUUCUCCAACAACAAGACCUAAAAGACAACACUCUCUGCAAAUAGGUCUCAAGGAGAGAGGAUACCCAAAUUUGGUUAUGCCUCUCCUGAUACCUAAAAUGGGUCUGGUUUUUGGUACUACUCCCUCCAUUUAAAAUUAUAAGUCGUUCUAGUGGUUUUUAGGUAUAUUGUUUUUAGUAUACAACUAAGGCCUUGUUUAUAGUUUCUCACCCAAAAACUUUUCACCUAUCACAUCAAAUCUUUAGACACAUACAUAAAACAUUAAAUAUAGAUGAAAAAAAUAAUUGUACAAUUUAGUUUUAAAUCGCAAGACGAAUAUUUUAAGCCUAAUUAGUCCAUAAUUGAACACUAAUUGCUAUAUUUAUAAAUAUGCUUCAUUACUAAAAACCAAAAACUUUUUGAUUUUUGGCAGCAACUAAACAAGGCAUAAAUUAAUAUAAGUCAUGUCUGAAUAUAUAAUAAAAGCUAUGUAGCUAGUUACUAGUACCUAGAUAAGCUAGAAUAACUUAUAAUUUGGGAUGGAGUGAGUACUUCUUUUUAGGCCUUGUUUAGUUCCCAAAAAAUUUUGCAAAAUUUUUCAGAUUCCCCGUCACAUCAAUUCUUUAGACGUAUGCAUGGAGUAUUAAAUAUAGACGAAAAUAAAAACUAAUUGCACAGUUUGGUCGAAAUUGACGAGACAAAUCUUUUGAGCCUAGUUAGUUCAUGAUUGGACAAUAUUUGUCAAAUACAAACGAAAGUGCUACUAUUCCUAUUUUGCAAAAUUUUUUGGAACUAAACAAGGCCGAAUUGACAUUUCUAAGUUGUGACAGAUAUCUGAUACACUACGAUAAGUAUGAGUGUAUGCAUUUCUCAAACUAUGAGUAUGACUAUGCGCACAUAUGUUAGGGUCAAUUUAAUAGAGCUCCUCGAUCCUACUUUUAAUUCUCUGCAAGAGAAGUCAGGCCUUGUUUAGAUCCAAAAACUUUUUGAAUUUUGACACUGUAGCACUUUCGUUUUUAUUUGGUAAACAUUAUCCAAUUAUGGAGUAACUAGGCUUAAAAGAUUCGUCUUGUGAUUUACAGAUAAACUGUAUAAUUAGUUAUCUUUUUUAUCUAUAUUUAAUGUUCCAUGCAUGUGCCGCAAGAUUCAAUGUGAUAGGGAAUCUUGUAAAGUUUUGGAUUUUUUGGGUGUAUCUAAACAAGGCCUGAUUCUAUGAUUGAAAGUAAUUAUAUUAAUUCUACGAUAAUAUCUAUGUACAAGUGAUUUUGUGUACAUAGGUAGUGAACCAAGAUAAGUUGUAAUAUACUGUUGGUAGUUCCUCCACUACUAGAUUCAUUCAGAAGCGGAAGCUGCUCUCUAAAGUAUAGGUAGCUAGAGAUCUAAGUGUCAAUGGCAGGAUAUAUAGGAUUAAAAUUCCUUAAUAUAUUUUGAUGAAUUUAUGUGUCUACCCUGUUUGAGAUCCAAGCUACCAUUAAAUAAUACAUGCAUAGGCCCAAAUUUCUAUCAAAAAUCAGGCUCGCAAGCACUACUGGAAACUCGAAUACUUCAUUUUUCUGUGAGUUUUUCUCGACACGCACGGAAAAAUUCCAAUUAUUCUGUGGGUUUCAAAAUAUCCUCACAGAAAAAUACAAAUACCCACAAAAUAAUUAUAUGAUUUUUCUGUGCGUGACAAUACACACACAGAAAAAAUUGACACUCACAGAAAAAACACAUUUGGUGUGCGUUUCUGUAAAACGCACAGAAUAAAAAUUAAACACACAUAGAAAAAUUACAAUUAUUCUAUGAGUUUCUACAAAAAAAAAAACAAAGUAAACACACACAGAAAAUAGAACAAGCGCUCAUACUAACUUCAUAUGAAAAAGCGUAGUUUUUCUUUUUAAUCUCUCUCUAAAACUUGUAACUAGUCUUUUGCCCUCGUCCUAACUUCAAAUUUAAUGAUUUUUUUCUAAACUCUAGUAGUGAAUGAAGCUAGAAUGAGCUGCUUACCUUGCGCAUAGUUGAGUCAGCAGGGGCGUGGCGGUAGCAACAUUGGCGAGAGGUCAUAUGGUCGUCCUUGUUAGUAAUGCAAAGGCUCACCAAGGUCGUCAACUUAGGCCUCAUUUGGUUCAUCGUGGUAAACUUUAACUUCCGUCACAUCCAAUAUUUGGAUACGUGCAUAGAGUACUAAAUAUAUACUAUUUACGAAACUAAAGACACAACUAGAGAAAAAUUUAAAAGACGAAUCUUUUGAGCCUAGUUAGUCCAUAAUUGGACACUAAUUGCUAGAUAAAACAAAAAUACUACAGUGUCCGUUAAAUUUUAACAUCUCCAACCAAACAAGCCCUUAGGCUACGCCGGACGUGAGCAUGGGUACUGGCGUCGACGGCAAGCGAACACGCUAGUGAGGAGGAAUAAGCAUCAUCGGCACGAUGAUAAGCAGGAAUAGUGCUAAGGAGGAGUGGUGAGGAGUAGGCGCGCCCAAUACCACCAAUUGAUGGAGGCGGUGAGCGUGUGUAGUGAGACACCCCCAAAUUGGUGUCAAGGGAAUGGAAAUCCCAAUUUUCUAACCCCAUGUGGGACGACAUAUGUAUUGGACGAUGCCAUCCGCGUCAACUGCUAGAUACGACCGGCGGUGAAGCUAGUGAACACCAUUGAUAGAGCUUGGGAUGAAUGUACAUGCUUAUAUAGAGAGCACUAGACACAUGACAAACCUAAUCGCAAUGAGCCUAAUGUAUGAUAGGGUGAUGUUAACAUAUUGACCGCAGUAUCAUGCGGUGUUCGCUAAUAAGGUGCACAAUUUGAACUUCUUGCAUGUAUUCUAAUUGAAUGAUAUCUAAUUGGAGAACUUAUGUGCUAAUGUUGUCAUGACCCGAUGGUUGUUCCAAAUUAAAACCUUGUGAAAACCCCUUUAGAAAACCCAACACUUCAAUCGACAAAAUAAAAGGUCUGAAAGAGCAUCUAGGCCCCUAAGUGAUUUCGGUGAUUAAUGACAUUGUUGAGUACUAUGACUAACGUGUGUUUUGCAGAGGCAAAGUCAUAGGUAAGGUCAUGGUAAACAGGGACUCGAUGGACAGGGACGUACAUGCCUACUUAAUAGUGGAAAUCGUUUCGGUUUUCAAAGGAUGGAUGUACAUCGUCAAGACUAGACUAGGUCUAAGUGCCAUAUGGUGAAGAAGGGCACUUAGAGUAGUUUAGGACCUUGUUUUUCCUUUGACCGUACUAUUAAGAGGGGCUUUGAUCUAGUAGCUUGACUUAGGCAAGGCUUUAGGUUUAGGUGUGGUGCACACUUGGUAAACCUAGCACUAGGCAGCUCAGAGAUAGUCCUUAGAUCGAGAGGAACAAACUUCGUGUUGGAGCGAUCGCGUUUCGACGAAGUUUGGGUGCCCAAAGGGGCACCGGACGCUGCACCGGACGCUCUGUGAGUGCGUCCGGUGAGGUCCUUAGCCGUUGGAACAGUUUGGUGCUUAGGGUUAGGCACCGGACGCUGGCACCGGACACACCGAGCAGCGUCCGGUCCCUUACCCAGGGAGCUUGCAAUGUUUCCCUGAGCACCGGACGCUAGCACCGGACGCACCGGGUAGCGUCCGGUCCCAUGCGCAGGGAGCAUGUAAGGUUUCCCCGAGCACCGGACGGUGCACCGGACGCUGAGAGUUAGCGUCCGGUGACCUGUCAGAGAAAAGCGCAGGUAGCCGUUAUGUCACACCGGACGCUCCGUGCAGUGCGUCCGGUGCAACAUAAUGUGCGUUCGGUGACCCCAUUUUCAGUGAAAAACGGUUGGCGGACCUUUGGACUUCGUGGAUAGUAUUUAUACUUCUCCACCUCGUCCAUGAGACCUCUCUUGUCCAUUUGAACAUCAGAGAAACUUGUUGUGGAGCAAGAGAGUUGCAAAGAGCCUAGAGAGGAUUGGUUUUUGAGUGAUUUCUUGAGAGAAUCCUCCUCUAGUGAGUUCCAAGAGUCAAGUGUGCAUCCACCACUCUCUAGAGCCUUGUUUGGGUCAAGUGAGAGUUCUUUGCUUGUUACUCUUGGUGAUCGCCAUCACCAAGACGGUUCGGUGGUGAUUGGAGGCACGAAGACCACCCGGAGUUCUUGUGGGUGGCUCGUGUCAAGCUUGUGAGCGGUUUUGGGCGAUUCACCGCGACGGAGUGUCGAAGAAUCAGCCCGUAGAGAGCACUUGGUCCUUGCGCGGACCAAGGGGGAGCAAGACCCUUGCGCGGGUGCUCCAACGAGGACUAGUGGAGAGUGGCGACUCUCCGAUACCUCGGCAAAACAUCGCCGAGCACUUUCUUCCACUACUCCUUUACUUUCUAGCAUUUACUUUGUGUUUUUACAUUCUUAGAAUUGCGAUGCUAGAAUAGGAUUGGAACUAGGUUGCAAAACUUUUUAUCCGGUAGCUCUCUAAGUCACACUAGGCACAAGGGGUUGAAUUGGAGCUUAUAGGUUGCUUAAAUUUUUAGAGAAGCCCAAUUCACCCCCCCUCUUGGGCAUCUUGAUCCUUUCAAUUGGUAUCGGAGCCUAGUGCUCACUAUUUAGGCUUCACCGCCUAGAGAAAGAUGUCUAACGGGGAUGGACCGCCACCCAUGUUCGAUGGGGAUGACUUCCCGUAUUGGAAAAUACGGAUGGAGUCAUACCUUGAGGCAUGCGAUGUAAAGUGCCUAAAAGCCGCGACCGAAGGGUUUGCCCCUCCGGAAAGAGCCACCGCUCUUACUCCACAAGAGCAAGAAAACGAGAAGUGGAAUGCAAAGGCCAAAAACCACAUCUUUAGAGGUCUUUGCAAAGAAGUGUUCAACCGUGUUCGGAGCCACAAAACCGCCAAUGAACUUUGGAAGGAACUUUGUGCGCUCCAUGAGGGAACUAAGAGUGAACGCGAGGAACGCUAUCACCUAGUGAUGAACAAGCUUAAUACAUUUGAAAUGCUUCCUAAAGAAAAUUCUAAUGAAAUGUAUUCUCGCUUGAAUGUCAUUGUAGAGGAGCUAAAUGGACUUGGGCUUACACAAAUGAGUACGGCGGAUGUUGCAAGGAAGAUACUAUGUGUGCUUCCCAUUGAGAAAUAUGGGCACAUAGUAACCGUGCUCCAUCAAGGCGAUCUUUCCACCGCUACACCAACCACCAUAUUGGGGAAGAUCAAUGCUCAUGAGAUGUACAUGCACAUGAACCCUCAAGAUGGCUCCUCAUCGGCCAAGAAAGAAAAGAAGGACUUGGCUCUCAAAGCUUCUCACAAGGGCAAAGCCAAGAAGAUUGAAGUUGAGUCAUCAACUUCAAGUGAUGAUGAUGCAUGUAUUGCCCUCUUGGUGAGAAGAACCACCAAGAUGUUGAAGAAGCUCAACAAGAAUGGAGUCAACUUUGACUCCAAGAAGAAGAAGUUCUUCACAAGUAGCAAGAGGAAGCCCAUCUCCGAGAUGGAUUGCUACAAUUGUGGUGAGCUUGGUCAUCUUGCUCAUCAAUGUCCAAAGCCCAAGAAGGACAAGUACAAGAAGAAGAACAAAGAGCAAGAUGACUCAAGUGAUGAUGAGAAAAAUGACAAGAAGCAAUACAAGAAGAAAGGUGGCAAGAAGAAGGAGCACUACAAGAAGAAAAAUGGCAAGGCUUAUAUUGUUGGUGAUUGGCUCACCGACAUUGAAAGCUCAAGUGGUGACUCCUCCGGCAAUGAAAGUGAUGAUGAGAAGGUUGCCGCUAUCGCCAUCGAUGCUCCAUCACCAUCAUCUUCACCACCAUCUACAUCCUCUACACACCUAUGCCUUAUGGCCAAAGGUGACCGGAAGGUACAAAGUGAGGAUGAGAGUAGUGAAAGUGAUAGUGAAUAUGAAUCACCUUCUUAUGAUGAACUUGUAAAAUUGCUAAACAAAUACACAAAAGUCAUAAGAAAGACUAGAAGUGAAAAUGAAAAGCUUGAACUUGAAAAUGAUACACUUCUAGCAAAGCUUAACUCUAGUGAUGAGCUUAGAGAACAAAAUGAGAUCAUGACCACUAAGCUCAAGGAGCUCAAACUCUCUCUAAAAGAGCUCAAAGAAAAACAUGAUAAACUUGAGAGUGUUCAUGAUGAGCUUAUCACUAGAUAUAGAGCAAUGAAAGAAGAACUAACAACUCUAAAAGCAAACUAUGACAACCUUGAGAUUGCUUAUGAACUUGCAAUUGAUGAAACACAUGUUGCUACUAACAAUGUUGCUAAGCUUGAUGUAGCCACAUCUUGUGAUGACUUACUUGUGGAGAGCACAAGCAAAUGUGUAAAUUGCAAGGGCAAGAAAGUGGUAGUGGCCGAGAGUUAUGAGGACACUAUCAAGCUCAAGGAUGAAAUUGUCAUGCUCAAGAAAGAAUUGCAAGACCAAUCCAAGCACAACACCUUUGUGAUUGAGUCACUUGAUCAAGACAAGAAACUUGCAUAUGAGAACAAGUUACUCAAAGAAGAAAAUCAAUAUCUCAAGCUUGGUUUGAUGUAUGACAAGCAAGAAGAAGAUGAGUCAUUCAUCUUGGAUGAGUUAGCUAGCAACAAUGACCCAAUCAUCAAGAAGCUAACUCAAGAGAACAACAAGCUCAAGAAAGAGAAGGAACAUCUAACCAUGGGGUUAGCAAAGUUCACAAAAGGGAAGGACCUUCAAAGUGAGUUUUUCAUGAACACCGUCAUGAAGAUGGACAAAAGUGGGAUUGGCUAUAAGGCUCAUCAAACAAAGCUCAUCAAGUCUCUAGUCACUCAUGAUCAAGCAAGCAAGCCAAAGCCAAAAAGAUGUUUUGAGUGUGGUCAAGAAGGACACUUUGCUCAUGAGUGUAAGGCACCACUACCACCACCCUUGCCCAAGCAUGCAAGACCAUUUGCCUUCAAUGCUCAUUACAUUGUAAGAAAAGACAAGUGUGGCAAGGUCAAGGUUAGCUUCAUGGGGCCACCAAACAAGCAAAGGCCAAAAAAAAUUUGGGUGCCAAAGCAACUAGUAGAGAAGGUCAAGGCCCUAAGCAAAUGUGGGUCCCAAAAUCUCAAGCUUGAUCUCUUGUGUGUAGGUGAACUACAAGACCGGUGGAUCACAUUGGGUAAUUGAUAGUGGUUGCACUCAACAUAUGACCGGAGAUCCCCGGAUGUUCACCUCUCUUGAUGAAGAUGUUGACAACCAAGAGAAGAUCACAUUUGGUGACAAUUCAAAAGGGAAAGUCAAGGGACUAGGAAAGGUUGCUAUAUCAAAUGACAACUCCAUCACCAAUGUGCUCUAUGUGCAAUCCUUGAGUUUCAACUUGCUUUCGGUUGGACAACUUUGUGAUCUUGGAUUUGAAUUCCUUUUCAAGAAGAAGGAAGUAAUUGUGACCAAGGAAGAUGACAAUGAAGUGAUAUUCAAAGGCUUCCGGCACAACAACUUAUAUGUGGUUGACUUCUCAUCCAAUGAAGUUAAUGUCAAGACUUGCUUAUUCACCAAGACUUCUCUUGGGUGGUUGUGGCAUAGAAGGUUAGCACAUGUUGGAAUGGGCACACUCAAGAAGUUGAUGAAGAAAGAAUUGAUUAGGGGCUUGAAGGAUGUGACAUUUGAAAAGGACAAGCUUUGUAGUGCAUGUCAAGCGGGCAAACAAGUUGCAAACACUCAUCCAACCAAAGCCUAUCUCUCCACUUCAAGAGUGCUUGAGCUACUUCACAUGGAUUUGUUUGGACCAACCACAUAUGCUAGUCUUGGAGGCAACAAAUAUUGUUUGGUCAUAGUUGAUGAUUUCUCCCGGUACACUUGGACAUUCUUCUUGCAAGACAAGGCCGAAGUUGCAUCAAUAUUCAAGAAAUUUGCAAAGAAUGCCCAAAAUCAAUUUGAUGUGAAGAUCAAGAAAAUUAGAAGUGACAAUGGCAAAGAGUUUGACAACACCAACAUUGAAGAAUAUUGUGAUGAAGUGGGAAUCAAGCAUGAGUUCUCCUCAACAUACACACCACAACAAAAUGGGGUUGUAGAAAGAAAGAACCGGACAUUGAUCACCUUGGCAAGAACAAUGCUAGAUGAGUAUAACACUUCGGAGAAGAUGUGGGCCGAGGCAAUCAACACGGCAUGCUAUGCUUCAAACCGGCUCUUUCCACAUAAGUUCCUAGAGAAGACACCAUAUGAGUUGCUCAAUGGGAAGAAGCCCGAUGUCUCAUUCUUUAGAGUGUUUGGGUGCAAGUGCUACAUCUACAAGAAGCGCCAACACUUGGGAAAGUUCCAAAGAAGAUGUGACAUUGGCUACUUGGUUGGCUAUUCAUCAAAGUCCAAAGCAUAUAGGGUCUUUAACCAUGCCACAAACAUGGUUGAAGAAACAUUUGAUGUUGAAUUUGAUGAAACUAAUGGCUCCCAAGGAGCAAGUGAUAAUCUUGAUGAUGUAGGUGGUGAACCAUUGAGGGAUGCCAUGAAGAACAUGCUGGUGGGAGACCUCAAGCCUAAAGAAGAUGAUGAUGAUGUGCAAGUCAUUGAGCCACCAUCCACCUCACAAGGUCCACAAGAUGAAGACAAGGAUGUGAGAGAUGCUCAUGAAGACACCCUAGUCACUCAUGAGCAAGCGGUGGCACAAGCACAAGAUGUUGAUGCUCCACAACCAACCCCUCAAGUGGCACCAAGAAGAACAUCACAUCUCCUCCAAGAUCACUCUCAAGAUCUCAUCAUCGGGAGUCCAUCACGUGGUGUAACUACUCGUUCUAGACAUGCUUUAUUUAUUGAACAUCACGCUUUUGUGUCUCUUGAAGAUGAACCAAAGACUAUAGAGGAAGCUCUUCGUGAUGCGGAUUGGACCAUGGCCAUGCAAGAGGAGUUGAACAACUUCUCUCGCAACCAACUAUGGACACUUGAAGAGCGACCCAAAGAUGCAAGAGUGAUUGGAACAAAGUGGGUCUUCCGGAACAAGAAGGAUGAUCAAGGCAAGGUGGUGCGCAACAAGGCAAGACUUGUGGCAAAAGGCUUUUCACAAGUGGAAGGUCUUGACUUCAGUGAAACGUUUGCACCGGUGGCAAGACUUGAAGCAAUCCGUAUCCUACUUGCAUAUGCAUCAAGUCAUGAUAUCAAAUUAUUUCAAAUGGAUGUGAAAAGUGCCUUUUUAAAUGGUUAUAUUAAUGAGCUUGUCUAUGUUGAGCAACCCCCCGGUUUUGAAGACCCUAGGUACCCCAAGCAUGUCUACCGGUUGUCCAAGGCACUCUAUGGUCUCAAGCAAGCUCCUAGAGCUUGGUAUGAGAGGCUUAGGGACUUCCUCAUUGAGAAGGGCUUCAAUAUUGGGAAAGUUGACACAACACUCUUCACCAAGAAAAUGAAUGGGGAAAUCUUCAUUUGCCAAGUUUAUGUUGAUGAUAUUAUUUUUGGCUCUACUAAUGAAGAUUUUUGCAAGGAAUUUGGUGAUUUGAUGUCCAAAGAGUUUGAGAUGUCCAUGAUUGGCGAGCUAUCCUUCUUCCUAGGAUUUCAAGUCAAACAAAUGAAGGAAGGGGUUUUCAUCUCUCAAGAGAAGUACACUCAAGAUCUUCUCAAGAGGUUCAAGAUGAUGGAUUGCAAGCCAAUCAAGACUCCCAUGGCAUUAAAUGGGCAUCUCGACUUGGAUGAGGGAGGUAACCCUAUUGACAAGACUCUCUAUCGCUCCAUGAUAGGAAGUCUACUCUACCUCACCGCAUCUAGGCCCGAUAUAAUGUUUAGUGUGUGUAUGUGUGCUAGAUAUCAAGCAAUGCCUAUGGAAUCUCACUUGAUUGCGGUCAAGAGAAUUCUUAGGUAUCUAAAAUACACACCUUGCCUAGGCUUGUGGUAUCCCAAAGGUGCAAGAUUCCAACUUGUAGGCUAUUCCGAUUCGGAUUAUGCCGGGUGCCGGAUUGAUAGAAAAAGCACAUCCGGCGGGUGCCACUUCCUAGGUAGAUCACUUGUCUCUUGGAUGUCAAAGAAACAAAAUAGUGUUGCUUUGUCAACGGCCGAGGCGGAAUAUAUAGCCGCCGGUGCUUGUUGUGCACAAAUACUCUACAUGAAACAAACCUUGCUAGACUAUGGAAUAGUACUAGACAAAGUACCUUUGUUGUGUGACAACGAAAGUGCCGUAAAACUUGCAAACAACCCGGUUCAGCACACCCGCACAAAACAUAUUGACAUCCGCCACCACUUCCUUAGGGAUCACGUUGCUAAAGGUGACAUAUCCCUAGAGAAUGUGGGAACAGAAAAUCAAUUGGCGGAUAUCUUCACAAAACCCCUAGAUGAAGCUAGGUUUUGUAUGUUGAGAAAUGAACUUAAUGUGCUUGACCUAUCCAACUUCACUAAAAGAUAAAAGUUGUGUGUUGAAUCUUGUAAAUAACUUUUGCUUUGCAUAUCAUGCAUACUUAAAACUAAAAUUCAACUUGCAUGUAGGGCUUGUCUAACAUGGUUAAGAUAACCCCUUUUGAGUGUGUGAAAAAGCUUAACCUUGGAUCAAACUUGACAAGCACUAGUUUACUUUCAAGUAUUGCACUACAACUCAUUUCAUUUGCAUGCUUGUUAGUUGACCGUUUCUUUUCGGUUAUUCGUUGAGCAUCCGCUGUGUUCGUCCAUAGAUAGGGGGAGCAUUCCAAGCUCAUUAUGUUUCAAACCCCUAGCUUUAUGGCCAUACGAUGCUCCUUGGUGUUUCUCUUGAACUAUUUUCAUAAAAACUACUAAGCCUAUGGCUAAUUAUUUGUGAAAACUUGAGGGUUUGAGAGAAGUCACUCAUACCAGUUCCAUUUGGUGUUUCCUUGUGUGCUUUUGAAGAUGGAACUUGGUUGGGUCAAAGUCGGACGUGGUGCUUAUUUGGAAAAGUGCUCAGAGGAACACCGAACGAUGCACCGGAUGCUGCCUCUGAGCGUCCGGUGCGGUGAGUGCGCCAGACUGUACUCACCGGACGCAGGUACAGUAUCCCUGUUGCGUCCGGUGCGGUGCGUCCGGUGCUCACCUGGUGUGACCUAAAGCACCGGACGCUAAAGCCAGCGUCCGGUGCCCAUCGCCCGGUGCAAAACCAAAAUGCAAACCUCUCUGCGCAUGAGUCCGGUGGUCACCGGACGCGUCCGGUGCCACUUUAAGAGCGUCCGGUGACCCCGCGGUGGGAGCAUAAAGCCCGCGCCCAGGGGCAUCUCACGGCCGAUCUUUUUCCUCCCCGGUUCUCUGCCCGUGCCCGCGCCCUGCCCUAGCGCCGCCGCCGCCGUCGAAUCCCGGCCAUCCGCGGCGUCCUUGGAGGUUCCCCCGUGCCAGAUCCUCUCCGGAGCCUCUCCCUCUUCCUUCUUCCCUUGCGCAGAUUCAAUCUCGCAGUGAUUUGAAGGCUUGAGUGAGUCUCUUAAGUUUCCUGCCCUUAAGGUGUUUGAAUUUUUGUCUCAACGGAUUAGAAAAUGGGUUUUGACUCCGAUCUUCUUCGUUAACCCUGUGCAGCACCUUAAGGAGGAGCUUCGCGUUCUCCGGCAGUUCCCGAUCGUGUCAUCUCUUUCGGAACGCAUCUCGUCCGUGGAUCGUAAGCCGUUCAUGCCCGUAUCUUAUCUUUUCUUGUGAUCCACAGGCUUAUCUCAUCUCUAGUCGAUACGAUUGCUUAUAUAGACCUUAUCUUGUCAAUUCUCUGCAUUACAUUGUUCUCUAUUGCCAGUCAGUUGCUUGUCGGACGCUUGAUUUGCUAUGGCUCGUACCAAGAACAUCAGUGGACCGACAGCCGGCUCAGGAGGUUCCCCAGGAGGCGAUGGUGGAGGUGAUCCUCCUCGUCGUUUCUCAGCGGCAGAGAAAGGCAAGGGAAAGAAGCUGGCCACCAAGAAGCGCAAGGCCACUGACAGAGAUGCAGAGGUCGCAGAGGCAGUUGCAGCAGCAGCUGAGGCAGCCGAGAGGGGUGGUCGUUCUGGUUCUCUGAGGAUUGGGGAUGAUCUUACGCCGCGUCAGAGGCGUGCAGUGCUUGAGGCAGAGGCUUUCCAUGGAUCCCCUCCAGGCACUGUGACGAUUGGAGGAUAGAGGGUUAGGCUUGUGGUCAGGGAUCCAGCUCAGGAGGAUCCAGACACUGAGACAGAGACCCAGGCAGAGGGUCCAGCACAGGAGCAGGAGCAGCCACUCAGGAGGUCGACUCGUGCUCGCACCCAGGCCGUUCCUCGGACCGGCACACCGAGUCAGUCCACUUCCACAGCUCGUGCCACUCCGGCUAGAGGCACUCCAGCUUCCCGCCAGAGGCCAGUCAGGAUCCACCGGGAUUUUACUCUUGUGUCAGCCAGAGAGAUCCAGCAGCUGCGUUUCGUUCCGUUUCCGACCUGGUUUCCAGCUGCCAGGAAUCCCAGAGCCGGUGCCCGCUUCUACACAGUCGUCUAGGAGGACAUCCACGAGGCACUAGUUCGUUCUUAGUCACAGUUCAGGGAGCACAGGGUGAUUGACCUCGAGAUUCUCGAAAACGUGGUCGGGGCAGAUAUUCGGCAGUAUUUCACUUACCUCCACGGACUCCCAGAGCUGCUAGCACUCCCCGGUACUUAUUGUGAGCAGUGGGUCAGAGAGUUCUAUGCGUCAGUGUGGAUUUCUCCAGAUCACAGUUAUAUCCACUACGCACUGGCAGGGACAGACUACAGAGUGACAGCUCAGAGGGCCAGAGAGGUGCUUGGACUGCGAGCCUCUCCCACCAGGAUUCACCAGCUGUGCUACGGGAACGUGGAUCCCCCUCGUCGUCCUCACGGUGGUGAGAUACCACCGGUUGACUUCGUUGCUCCAUGCUUCCGUGCACCUUUUGGGGAGGGCUCCAGCAGGACAGUGGCAGAUUUGACUCGCCCAGCCAGGAUUCUCGACUUUGUGUUGAGGAAGACUCUUCUUCCCAGGACAGGCUACAGAGACGGAUUCACUCGUAUGCAGCAGUGGCUCGUCGCUCACCUUAUCUCCCAGACAGAGUUUGACUUGUGGGAUCUGAUUGUCUCAGAGAUAGAGGACACCAUCUCAGAGAGCUUCAGGGGCCGGCGUCAGUUGCCCUACGCACAUUGGAUCACCCUGCUUAUACUUCGUGCUAGGCCACUGCCCCUGCCAGCUCACUUACAGAGGGAGUUGACAGAGUCCGACACCGUCUUCCCCCACUACGACCCCCGGCAGAUGUUGAGAGCGCACCACGACCUUCGCGGUGCCCCUCCUCCUCGUGCUCCAUGUGGACCGGUGCCCCCACCUUCUCCUAGGGGCACCCGCAGCACAGCAGCUGUUGCAGAGACAGAGGAGCAGCAGGACGUAGCUAUCGGGGCGUUCGCCGAUGCAGAGGCAGAGGGCGAGUUCGACUUCGCCUCAGACAGCUCAGAUGACGACUAUCAGCCGCCAGUGACUGAUCUCCCUCCCAGGGCACACGACCACAAGGCAGGCGGCUCUUCGAGUUCUUCGGACCCCGCCUUGCUAUCUUAGAGGGGAUGAGGGCAAAUCAGCGCCGUGCAGCUGAGGAGCAGGCGAGGCGAGACAGGGAUCAGGCUGCCAUCAAUGCAGCCAUGCAGGCCAGACAGGAUGAGCUCCAGCGUCAGCUUCUCACUUUUCAGGAGCAGCAGCUUGCUUUCUAGGCCCAGCAGACAGCGAUGAUGGCCGCUCUCAUGGCCACCUCAGGGAUUCAGCUACCGCAGAUCCAGCUCCCAGGCACGUCGACUGUCAGGCCACCUACUCCAGUGCCUCAGACUCAGAGCCUGUCUGAGCAGCCGCUCCAGCUACCAGCUCAGAGUCAGCCGUUUCGACGCCACAGCACCAGGUCUCUCAGGGUGCUAUCUCUUCAGGCUUUGAGCAGGUACCGCAGUUUACCCGUCUCCGCUCAGGCUUCACACCUCAGUCAGCUUCAGCGUCACAGCUUGUGUGGGACUCGCAGACAAAUCCGCGCCUCAGCUUCACCUACAGUGCUCUGACUGGUGACCCUACGCCUCCUCCUCUGCAGGCUCCUACAGUCUUUACGGUGCCAGUUACCACUACAGAGCUUCUGUCGUCGUCAGUAGCGUCGUCCGAGCAGCUUGCACCGUCUACUACCGUUCCAGAGAUGACAGCUACAGCGACCGAGUCCGUGCCAGCUUCGUCAGCCAGACUUGAGCAGCCAGCACAGCCUGUGACAGCGCCAGAGCAGACCCGGACCGCUUCUCCAGCACCUGCAGCUUCAGAGGGUCACUCCACCUCCUCUGCCUCGACGGCCGACAGUUCAGAUGAUGCAGCUCGCUUCGUGGCCGCGCCGAGGGACUCUACUGCUCCGUCUCCUCCACCGACUUCUUAGGUUUUUGGCGCUUGAUGCCAAAGGGGGAGAGACUUCGUAGUAUGAGAGUUAGGAGUUAGGGGGAGCUAGAGAGGUUUUAGGAGUCUUCUUGUGAGGAGUCUAUUCUUUUGUGAGGAGUCUAUUCUUUUGAGAUACUUGUUAUGUGUGCUACUUUAUCAUGCAUCAUGUUUACCUUUAUGCAUUGCACUUGUGUGAGAUACUUUGGUUGUGAGACAUGACUUUGGUUAUUGUGAUAUCUUAUUGUCAUGUGUUUGGCUCAUAUUACUUUUUGCUUCCACAUGUCUACUCCGAUGUACUUAUGAGCCUAGUGUUUAUAUCCUGUCGUAUACCACUCAUAUAUUUGGAUGCAGGGUAUUGGACUUGGUUGAUAUAAGCAUUCCUAAUCCUUUUAUUCUUAUUGUCAUAUGCUUAUUGAAACCAAGUCACUUUGAAAACCUCAACUCUUUACUUACUCUAGGUUGUCAUCAAUCACCAAAAAGGGGGAGAUUGAAAGAGCAUCUAGGCCCCUAAGUGAUUUCGGUGAUUAAUGACAUUGUUGAAUACUAUGACUAACGUGUGUUUUGCAGAGGCAAAGUCAUAGGUAAGGUCAUGGUAAACAGGGACUCGAUGGACAGGGACGUACAUGCCUACUUAUAGUGGAAAUCGUUUCGGUUUUCAAAGGAUGGAUGGACAUCGUCAAGACUAGACUAGGUCUAAGUGCCAUAUGGUGAAGAAGGGCACUUAGAGUAGUUUAGGACCUUGUUUUUCCUUUGACCGUACUAUUAAGAGGGGCUUUGAUCUAGUAGCUUGACUUAGGCAAGGCUUUAGGUUUAGGUGUGGUGCACACUUGGUAAACCUAGCACUAGGCAGCUCAGAGAUAGUCCUUAGAUCGAGAGGAACAAACUUCGUGUUGGAGCGAUCGCGUUUCGACGAAGUUUGGGUGCCCAAAGGGGCACCGGACGCUGCACCGGACGCUCUGUGAGUGCGUCCGGUGAGGUCCUUAGCCGUUGGAACAGUUUGGUGCUUAGGGUUAGGCACCGGACGCUGGCACCGGACGCACCGAGCAGCGUCCGGUCCCUUACCCAGGGAGCUUGCAAUGUUUCCCUGAGCACCGGACGCUAGCACCGGACGCACCGGGUAGCGUCCGGUCCCAUGCGCAGGGAGCAUGUAAGGUUUCCCCGAGCACCGAACGGUGCACCGGACGCUGAGAGUUAGCGUCCGGUGACCUGUCAGAGAAAAGCGCAGGUAGCCGUUAUGUCACACCGGACGCUCCGUGCAGUGCGUCCGGUGCAACAUAAUGUGCGUCCGGUGACCCCGUUUUCAGUGGAAAACGGUUGGCGGACCUUUGGACUUCGUGGAUAGUAUUUAUACUUCUCCACCUCGUCCAUGAGACCUCUCUUGUCCAUUUGAACAUCAGAGAAACUUGUUGUGGAGCAAGAGAGUUGCAAAGAGCCUAGAGAGGAUUGGUUUUUGAGUGAUUUCUUGAGAGAAUCCUCCUCUAGUGAGUUCCAAGAGUCAAGUGUGCAUCCACCACUCUCUAGAGCCUUGUUUGGGUCAAGUGAGAGUUCUUUGCUUGUUACUCUUGGUGAUCGCCAUCACCUAGACGGUUCGGUGGUGAUUGGAGGCACGAAGACCACCCGGAGUUCUUGUGGGUGGCUCGUGUCAAGCUUGUGAGCGGUUUUGGGCGAUUCACCGCGACGGAGUGUCGAAGAAUCAGCCCGUAGAGAGCACUUGGUCCUUGCGCGGACCAAGGGGGAGCAAGACCCUUGCGCGGGUGCUCCAACGAGGACUAGUGGAGAGUGGCGACUCUCCGAUACCUCGGCAAAACAUCGCCGAGCACUUUCUUCCACUACUCCUUUACUUUCUAGCAUUUACUUUGUGUUUUUACAUUCUUAGAAUUGCCAUGCUAGAAUAGGAUUGGAACUAGGUUGCAAAACUUUUUAUCCGGUAGCUCUCUAAGUCACACUAGGCACAAGGGGUUGAAUUGGAGCUUAUAGGUUGCUUAAAUUUUUAGAGAAGCCCAAUUCACCCCCCCUCUUGGGCAUCUUGAUCCUUUCAAGGUCCGAAGACACCCUCUGACUGCUCGGCACCAUUCCCACUAGUCAAAUGCUAAUUGACUUGUCAACACGACGGACUCCACAAGGUUUUACCAGAUUGUCCACCAGAUCAUAGAUUAUGCAAACACGCAAAUGAGUGAGUUGUCCUCCUAUCUCUCUCCUUGGCCCCAUUAUCAGCAUGAGUUAUCACUCUCAACUCAUGAAAACUAGCCCCAUCUCGCUACUAAACACUCUCCUCCCCUCCUCUCUUUCUCUAGAAUGGAGCAUAGAAAAGGAAGAACAAUAAAGGGAAAGAAGGGUAAGAAAAGAAGAGAAGAAGGAAAAGAGAAGGAAUUUAAGCUCAAGAUUAUACUUAUAAAUAGAGAAGAAGAUGAAGCUCAACCUCUCUCCCUCAUGCUAUCAUAAGUGUAAGCUCAAGAAUCUCUCUCUAGCUCAUUUUCAUGAACAAAUCCUCUCUCUAAUCUUUUUCUCUCUUUAAACAUAGGAGAUGAAUGAAGAUCAUGACUCUCCCCUCCAUUCUGAAGUGAAGCCUCGAAGCUCAUCUCCCCUCUAUCACUCAGCAAGGAGCACUCCCUCCAAUUUCACCUCCCUCGUGGAAGAAACCCUUCCCUCCUACGGAUGCAAGAACAUCAAGAAGAAGAGCUUGAUCUUGGUGACCCCAUUUUUAGCAAAUCAUCAAGAGUAACUUCAUCUAUCUCUUCUUCAAUCCUUAGAUUACCUCCCUCAUAAUCAUGGUUUAGAAAUUCACAUUGUGGUAGAAUCUCAUGCUAAAGAGUAAGGAUGUUUAUGAACUGAGUUGGCAUUCACUUAAGGGGAAUGACUUAUUUUAACAAAUUGACUGAGGCCAUGCUUUAAUUUUGACUUAAGUUAUUAACUUGUUGUGAGAGUUGGCUCAAACAAUGGGUAAGGUCACUAUGAGUGUUGGAUCUCAAGUGACAUAGCUUAUGGAGUAGUUAAGGGACACCUCUAUGUUAUAGUGAGUCAGAGUAACCCUCGAACAAACCACAUGUCAUGUCUGAGUGUGAUAAGCUGAGUACUUAGUGGUGGCUACCUAAUGACAUGGAUUUGGCACAAGAUUGAAAGAUCCUAGUUUGAUUUUUGUAAUUAACAAUCCUACCUAAGUGGAUUAAUGUGUUUUAUGUAAAAACACACAAGUGAUUAGUCCAUAGGUACACUAGUGUGAGCAAUACAUACAUAGAGCCAUGGUGGAGAGGUGCCUUGGACAUGUUACAAUUGUCCAACUAGUCGGAUGAAGGAGCUCAUUGCAUAUGAGACAUGACAUGGUGUCAUGUGUCUAGGUGGAGAAGAUCAAGAGGUGAAGCUUUGCUAUGGAGGAUUAGGUUGCUAGUGUGAAGGGCAAGCUAAAGGUUCAAGUGCAAUGGACCAUUGAGGCAGUGAAGCUACAACAGAGGGCUUGGCACCAAGGACUGGGUGCAACGGUUAAGGGCAAGCAAGGCUAUGAUUGAUGAACCAAUAAGGCCAUGUGAUGACAUGAAGUGGAUCAUAUCAUCUAUGGAGGAUCAAGCCAUGCAUGUGUUGAUUACAUGUGGCUUGAUGGAGGUUGGAUGCUUGUGUGGCAUCACUAACAAAAGAGAUGAAAUAGAAUGCACAAGAAAAAAAAGGUAUAUUUGUAGAGCAUUUCAUUUCUAGGUCAAAGGUUGAGUAGGGAGUACUUGAAAGGGUUUGGGAUAGAUAAUUGUACUAUCAAGAGUGGAAAACUUAUUUGCAUAAUGAUCAUCUAGUGCCACUUGAGUGAUCUAACAUUGCAUUUGUUUUUUGGAUCGAGUGGCGGUUGAAAAAGAUUUUGGAAACCUUUGUGAAAUGAUUUAAAAAUGCUUGGUUGUCUUGUGUGAAAAUAUUUGAAGUUAGCAUAUUUUCAAAAGGUUUGAAAAUUAUUUUGAAUUGACUUUAAAGAAGAACUCAGAGGCGUGUUUGGUGCUUCACCGAACAAAUCCGAUGGACCUAGGGUUUACGGGACCAGACUAAUCUAGUGUGGAGAAGGGGCAUGCAACAGGGAGCUUGUGCAACAGUAGAACUACCUAGUGGCUGGAAUCAACCCUUAUGGUGGUAUAACCACCCACCGAACUGAUAUAUGCUAGCGGCGGCAUAGGCCACACCUAAUCAUACGUGAGGGGCUUUUGAGCUUUAGGCCUACUAGUCAGUGCAUGGUGAUUGGACUGGCAAUGCCGUAGUUGGACUACUAGGAGAGUCAGCGUGCAAGAGUUAGUUAGGUGGUUCAAACUAACAUUGUCUAGGUUAAUCUAGUGGCUAUUGCGUGGUUUGGAGCUUUGUAGUGGACACUAGAUUUAUCUAGAGGCUAGGGCAUUAGAUUGAUUUUUUAAACACUUGACUAUUACAUGUGCAUCCUGAACAACUCUUGGAGGUGUUGAUGGCCUAGAAGUUGGACUAGUGGAGUUGCCUUGUUGGAUCGCCAGUGGCUGGCUGAUGCGUGGGGCCCAACCUAUAGGUAGCCAUUAGAGGGUGCAACUGACGAUCAUUGGGCCCUGGUGGUUGGACCGUCAGUGUGUAAGAGGCAUGGGUAGAAGGCCCAAGUGGCUAGCUAGUUUAGUUGCCUCCCUCUAUAAAUAGAGUAGUGGUCGAUCAUGAAGCUUGGUUUGCCUUUGGGGAGUUUGUGUCUGCCCUUUUAGGAGUGAUCAGUACCCUCCAACUCACUUGUGACUCACAGAGGUCAUAUGCGAAAGUGGAUGAGUGAUUCCUAUUGCAGUGUGUUGAGAGAUUGCAAUCUGUGAAACUAGGUGUUUAUGAUCCAAGCUAGUGUGUUUUUACUCUUGGAGAUUGCCACCUCCUAAAUGACUUGGAGGCUUGUGUGCUUUGUUGUAGCACACAUAGAGAUUCUGUGGUGCUUUAGAGAGACCAUACUGUGAGGGUUGUUGUGCUUGUCUUGUGGGGUCACUAACAGCAACUAUUAGUAGAGUGAGGUGAGAAGAGCGCCAAGUGGUCUGCUAAAUCUAGUGUUGCUAGUGCUCAUGUUGGAGCACACCCUUUGGUGGUGACUGCAAGCUUUUGGGCUUGUAACUAGCAAGGGAAUCGACAACAAAAAUAGGCUUCCCUCAACGGGGAUUAAGUGGUUGGCAAGCCACCAAACCUUGAGAUAAUCACUAGCCUAUGUUACUUUUGUUCAUUACUUAUGCUAGUGAGUACUUGUUGCUCUUGAGUAACGUGUAGUUAACUAGUUUCUCUCUCUCUCUCUCGCUUAGCUUAUGUAGUUAAGUAGCUUAUCUUGUAGUGUUAGUAGCUUGUGCUUUGUGCACUUUGCUUACUAGAAUUUGUAGGAACUCUCUUAUGCUUAUUACUUGACUACCAACAUUAUGUGACCUUGUUGACUAGAAUUAUUUAGUGAGCACUCCCUCUAGCUCAGCGCCUUAUACAUAACUUGCAGGAUCAUUUGUAAGGUGUUUGUGAUAGAUAAAUGGAAUGUAGUCUUGGCUAGACCAAUCAGUUUAUUUUUUGUAUUUGUUUUAGUUAGCCAUAGCAAUUAUAAUUUAGAAAACACUAUUCACCCCCUCUAGUCGGCUCCUUGUUGCUAAUAGGGGUGUAGCAUCGAGUAGCUAAAAGAAGAUAGUACCUUAGCUGAUUGGCAUACCAUUCAUGGUUAGUUGGCCACACUAGGGAAAUGUUGGGACCUUGAGGCAACCCUUACCCCAGCAUAGACAUAGAGGUUCAUCCUAGACUCCUGUGUUGUAUAGUUACACACCUCUAUAGAGAUUUCUUCAAAAGCAUAAAUGUCCUUAGAUGACAUCGGUUGUUCUUACUUGUUUCAAUGUAGUGAGAGUAAACAUGAGUUAUGCAUAUUUCUACUUAGUCAAUAAUUUUCCAUAGCAUCUCAUAUUAUAACUCAUGCCAUGCUUUUUGCAAUGAUUAUAAAUUCCUAUUAAUUACUCCUCUUGCAUCCUCUGAGUAUAGUUGUACUCAUGGUAUUUCAUUUCAGAUGUUUUCAAGUGCCAACAACUCGGUGAUCACUCAAGCCAACUUGAGUGAAGUCAACAGUGUAGCAAAGCAAGGGAUCAAUGUCCCCAAAGUUGUGGUUAACUCUGAUGGAGCAAGCAUUGUGCGAGCAAACAUUAGAAUUUGUUUUAUGUAUAAUAAUGGGAUUUGUUAUACAUGGACUGGUAACUAAUUUGAGUAUUUAACUUUAAUAUCAAUGGUAAGGUUUUCAUUUGUUGUUAAGUGCAAUUCCUUUGCUCGAUGAAUCUUGUAGGAUGUGUACAUGGCAUGUGUCUCUUUAACUUGAUCCUAUCAUUUAAGUUGCUCUAGUAGAGCUUGUGGAUGGUGACUCUAGGGAUCCUCCUAUGGCCAUCAAGUUAGUGUUGCAUUGGUCGAGAAGACACCAUGUGGUACUAAUCAGGCGGCUAGGGAGGAUUCCUUGCAAAUGUCAUUACUAUAAGUUUUGGUGUAGUGGUUGGGGUGGAUUAAGUAGUGCUUGGUGGGAUGCCGGCUAGAACUACUACCUAGAGAAAAGCGGAAGGGAGGAGAGGGUACACAAAAAUUGAGAAACCAUGUCUGUUGUUGAUAUGAGUUACACGGAUGGCAAAGAUUGCUCUAGAUGAAGCAGGCCAUCAUUGUAUGAAGCAUUGAUCUUGUGAGAACAAACACCAUAUGAUAUGACAAUUCUCAGCGAUGAGUACACUAGUCUACACAUGCUCAAGCAAGAGAGGCAAACAAUUCUAAUUGAUUAAGUCAUGUGAUCUAAAACUAAUACUCCCUCCAUACCUAGAUUAGAUGGCGUUCUGGGCUUCCUUUGUGCUUUUACAAAGAAUGACGUCCUAGCCUCCGAAGGAGUAUGAUGGACUGGACUGCCCUUGCCUUUCAGUCUUCUGCCCGCAUUAAUGGACGGGUGUCUCCCAUGCUAAUGGACGCGAAAGUCCGGCGUCUCCCAUGCAUGCAUGCUAACGGACGUGAACCGACGCCGGCUCCCAUGCAUGCAUGCUAACGGACACGAACAGACGCCGGCUCCUAUGCAUGCUAACGGAUGGGAAACCAGCCCUCUCCCAGUCUUCCCAGGCGUCUCCCAUGCAUGCAUGCUAACGGAACACGAACGGACGCCGGCUGUAUGCAUGCUAACAGAUGCGAAACCAGCCCCAUGAAAAAUCACGUCCAAGUACAAAAAGGCGCAGGCAACAGGAAUCGAACCCCCACCCUCGCCCAACGAGCGCUUUGAAAGCAGCCCCGGUAACCAUUCGAAUAGAGAAUGUUUCAUGUCUAGGAUACACCCGCGCCUCUAUUUAAUAAGGGUAAAACCAGAAGAUUAUCCCCUAAUUAAUAACUCCUUGGUAAGCACAAUUAUGUCCUAAACGUCAUAUAUUUCUAGUAUGGAGGGAGUACAUAUAUAUCUCUCUUGAUAAGCAUUAUAGUGACUACAUACAUUUCAAAUAAAUCAAACUAAUCAAAAUCUCAUUGCUAAAGCCAGAAUCCCUCUUUUGCUUCUUUGUUGGAGGCUCAUCAUCAACCUCCUCCUCCACCUUACCGUACCAGUGCUCAUCGUCCAUCAUCUAGGGAAGGAUGGAUCUAGGAUGAAAGUUUAGGGGGGCUGUAUUCACAUGAACACAUCACCAUGUGCCCUAGGCGAUGAGGAUGAUAUGCAAGACAUGUUAUUUGAGGAGCCUUGUUGGGAGUGCGAUAAGCAAGACAUGCCAGUUGAAAGUUCUAGUUUGGUUUUGGUGAAUUGAUGAAACCCUAUGUGCAAACCUAUUGCUCUAAGUGUUCGUGAGAUAGGAAAGCACACUCCAAGUGGUGAGUAACAUUGGUGAUGAUCAUGAUGGUGAUGGUGAAACCAAGGUGAUCAAGUGCUUGGGUUUGGAAAAGAAGAAAGAUAAAAACAAAAGCUCAAGGCAAAGGUAUAAUUGGUUAGGAGCUUUUUGGUUUGCACUUAAGACACCAUAGAGGGUGUGAGUGAUUUAGGUUUGAUAUCCAUACUAUUAAGAGGGGUGAAACUCAUAUCAAAAUGCGGUUAUCAAAGUGUCACUAGAUGCUCUAACUCAUUGCAUAUGCAUUAGGAUCUAGUGAGUGCGCUAACUCCUUUGAGAAAAUGCUUGUGAAAAUGCUAACACACUUGCACAUUAUUGUUUCAACAUUGUGGUGUUGGCACAUUUGCAAAGGAGGUGUAGUUUUAGGGGUAGAGAGGGGUUUGGGAUCCUCUCUCCCUCCCAUCAAUCUUACGAGGCAGGAUUCAGCAUUUUUGUGGAAAUGGAAUGCAUAUUUUCCAUUGCACUAAAGGAAAGUUGAUGUCAUGCAUGAUGGUGUAGUGGAUCCGGAUCGAUCAAGGAUAUUUAUAGUCAAGAUUCUUUGUUAGUUACUUACAUGUAUAAUUAAUCAUGAUCUGUCUGUUUGAUAUCACACCCCCAUGCACCCAACAUAUAUAAUUACAUACAUUAAAUCACCGAUUUAGUACUUUUUAAGCAUCAUCAUCAUGUGAGAAGGAUGCAUGGUUUGUGUCAAAACAAUGCAUGCAAUGCAUCCACAUAUACAAAGAAAAGAGAGAACUAGGGCUCUGUUGAUGCAAAACUGAUCUGCAAACACAAAGGGCUAAUACCCGAUUCAAACGUUAAGGCGUGCCAGCCGAUUUGACCUUGCUAUCGGCAAAGGUGAUAACUCGAAUACUUUAGUCCUGACAACAGCGAUGCGCCCGGAUGUCACGGCUAAGAGGUACUCACGCGGAACUUGAGAACACGCCGAGCUUAAGUCGACGAAUUCCUAAGAACUCGUAACAAAAGGAAAAAGUAUGACGAAGUCGUCGAAAAGUAAAUGCUGGAAUAUGAGUAAAAACGUGUGUUUGAUUCAUUGAUUCAUUUUUUAUUACAAGGCCCUAGGGUCUAUAUUUAUACCCUGCUCAAAGAGCUACAACCAGACACGAUUAGAAUUCGAAUUCCAAAAUACACGGAAUCCGUAUACAAAACGAUGCAAAUAAUUAAGGAAAUAACAAAACUAUCCCUCGUGACAAACCGAAACUCCUCCACAUAACGACCGGCAGCUUCCGGACUCCCUCUUUGCAUCAUCAGCAGACCCUUUGCCAUAGUCAUCGGUAGACUUUCUUAUCUAGCCAUCGGCACCAUAUUACUGCCUGUGGACUUAGUCACGUUCAACUUCUCCCUCAUCGGCAACCAUCCUCAUCGGCAACCCACUUUGUAAACAUCGUACUGCCACCUUAUCCUGCCAUCCUAGACACGUGCCCAAAAACGGUGUCAACACAUGCCCCCCAGUUUCGGAGUAUAAAACUAUUAAUGCUCCGAAAUUCUCUGCAGUAAUGAUGCCUUUUCCCGCAAUUAAUGCUCCUAAUCUGGUAACCGACAACCUCAAUCUGAACAACUCUGAUCCUAUUCCUCCGCAGAUUUCUCGAAAUCCCCAACUUCCUAAACGGGCAUUUUUUCUCAGUCGUACAUCGGCAACAAUACCGUUACAAAGAUCUGCCGAUGUUCUGACCAGGAUAUUCGCACAAACGGUUACUUCCCCUCUAUCCGCCCAUCAGCAAUAUGACCGUUAUAGAAUAUUGCCGAUGGACCGACCAGGAGAUCUCGCACAGUAAAAUAUCUUCAGAUAAUGACCGCUUCCCGUCAAAUCACCUGCACAAUCCCUGGAUUACCGUGCGAACAGUUACCAUAUCCACCUGAGUACCCUCGGAUUUCUCGGAUGCGGCAAAGAGAUAAGUCGGAUUUGCCCUUGCCCAUUUUGUCCUAUAAAUAGUUCCUUCUUGGGUACUCCUUCCCCAUCACACCAUUCUACUACCCAACUUUACUUUUCCAGCGGCGGCGCCACCAAAAACUCCCAAGGUCUCCGACAAGUACCCCUCUUCACCAACUCCGGCGCCUUCAAACGCUUCCUUCGCAGCAAGAUGGCCGUCGGGUUCGUCGUCCCUGAGGUCAAAUCUCCACCCCGUCUUCUGUAUUUUUCUUCAUAUCCCUGUUCACUCGCAAUUCAUUUUACUGAACAUCUUCCUUUUCUUUCCUCUUUGUAUUUCUUUUUACGCCCAAAAUCACUAGGAAUUGUCCAACAAAAUUGUCAUCCCCACCGAUCAACGACACCUUCAAUGCCUCGGCCCUCUAGGGGACCCAGAUCCAACUGACCUUAUCAACGCAGAAACCAACAGGAUCCCCUUCAGAGCCGAAAAUUUUUCCUUAGAUCUGUGGAAGGACACCUUCCGCUCUUGGCCCAGCCCAACUGUAGGGUGGAAAGACUGGUUCUUGAGGGUCAGCAACUCUAAUGAAGUUCAGUGGGGUGAAAGGAAUCUAGCCCAAUGCAUUAGAUUGUCCAUUGCCGAUAUGCAUAGGAACGAGUCACUGCUGAUAGCUGCAUCCUACUUUUGGUCAGACACCCUCAAUGCUUUUGCCUUUGGCCACGGCCCUGCUUCUCCUACUCUUGCCGAUGUAGCCAUGCUUACUGGUCUAGAUAUAUCUUCUGCCGAUAGCACCCACUUUUUUGAUACUGCCCCUAGUGCCAAAGUGGAGACUCGCGCUAUCGGCGGUUGGUCGGGGUACAUUCAGAAGUACCGUGGGAAAGGAUCUGUCACCAUAAAGUAACAAACCACCUUUCUGAACAUGUGGCUGGACAAGUUUGUAUUAUGUAGUCGAUCGGCAGGACCGACUUCUGUCUACCUAUCGGCAGCAGAAAGACUGGCUAACGGUGGCCGAUUCCCUCUCGGCCGAUACUUGCUUGGCGCUGCUUACCACCUUCUCCAUCAAGUAGCCCAGAAACUUCUGCUCGGCCAAUCCACUGGCAACUUGGGAGGCCCCUGGUGGUUUGUUAACAUGUGGCUCAAUCUGCAUCUGCACAAGCGUCUCAACUUCAACCUGUUCACACAGCGUUUCCCAAGAGAUAUAGCUGAAAACCAUGUAUUGGGUGAAGAGGAAUCGGCAACACGCGCCCCCUUGAACUUUGGCGAAGCUGUCAUAGUUCUGCCUGGUUCAGGGGGUAAUCCAGAUCAGAUCGGCCGAUUCUUCCAGACUCUGUAUGAGGGUUUGACCAGAGACGAACGACCAUGGUUGGCUUAUGAUGACCCAGAUAGCAUGCUCCCUCUGACCUUCAAUCCAUUUGAUGAAGCUCUCGACAGGGACAAUGAGGCGAUGAUGGCAAUUGUGACUCCCAGAAUCAUUCCAGUGAAUUUCUUUGGUAGCACAAAAACCUCCCCUCAAACUUACGAAUUUUACAAUCCAUCGGCAUUAGCUCGCCAGUUAGCUUUCGGCCAGUUGCCGAUUGCACUUCCUUAUGCCGAUGUGAUAAAACCCAGAGAAACUAUCAACAACCUUCUUGAGUGGACUCGAGCAGCCCAACUACCACCAAACACCGAUAUAGAUGUAGAUCUGUCAGAAUGGGUUCCGGCUGCUUUUAUCACUCAGGCAUACAAGUUAUGGUGGGCAGAAUGGAAAGAGCAUCUAUUCUGCAGAUCGGCACUUUCAUACCGCGGCAUGAUUGACUCCGAAUACGAAGUUCCCGAUGACACUGUAAGUAACUCAAACCAACGUUUCAUUUUCUCAAUAUUACCUCCAUCGGCAGCUUACCCUUGUAUUCUUUUUGCAGGUUGACAAUAUUCCUCCAUUGGUUAGCAGGAGUGGCAGGCCGAUCGACUUGUUUCCAUCAGGCCCGAUUUCCUCAAUCGGCCACAAUGCUCCCACUCUAGCUUCCAUCGUGCAUCGGGGUGUACGCCUCAGGAAAGUCACCACCAGAAGAACCCAGACAUCACCAACGGUAGCUGCUCCCACUCUUGCGCGGGCUUUCAAGGCAAUUUGUCAAAUCUUUUCCUUUAUGCUGACUAUCUUUAUAUCGGCUAUAUUUAUGCUUAUAAACUCUUGUUUAUUAUUGCAGCAAACCGGCGCAUCGGCGAAAGCCAGGUGUGAGAGUACCGAUGCCCCCCAGUCUAGCCAACCCAAGAGAAAGGGCACCACGGGUGCUAAGACUGGAACAAAGCGCCAGAAGGUAGCAACUCCCCCUCCUCCUCCGGUAUCUCCAAUUCCGGUGGAGUCUUCUCCUUCUUCUCCAGAAGCCCAGCCACAGCAAGCACCAUCUCCCCCCACCUAUGCAGGAAGCACCACAGAUAGAAGAACCCCAACAGGAAGGAUCUCAAACAGAAGAUACAUCAGCUGACAUGGGUGAACAAACAACUAGCCCGGUGGGUCCAGCUAUACCAUCGGCAGUUCUCCCGAUUCAGACAACCGUUGUCCCUCCUCCAGGUAACAUACUUUAACAAUAUCGCUUCCGAUGAACUUAUUCUUAUUUAAUCUCAUAACUCCUUUUGUCUUCUUUCAGUUGAUAUCGUUCCAUCGGCAAUCUCAGCCGAUCAACCUGUAGCUCCAUCGGCAUCUUUGGCCGAUCAGCCCGCAGCUCCGUCAGCACUUCUCAGUCAAAGACAAGAGAUCGCUUUGAAGCAAGUAAGUCACCGUUUACCGUUAGCACUAUUUGCCGAUUCUCUGAGUAUGAGCUAAUUUUGCUUUCCCUCCCAGGAACAAGAUUCUUCCGAUAGCCUGUUCUCCUUCGCCAUCGAUCUCUCUGAAGAAGAAGGUGAAGAAGCAAGCUCUUCUCAGACGGUCGGCAUCACAUCGGCAGAGAUCAGGGUCAGGCUGGAAGAAUUGUCAGCUCUCCUUCACCAGGACACAGCGCAAUUGGUUGAUGAUUCCGACCCUACCAAGACCCUGUUCAGAACUCUCAGAGGCCAAAUCCCAGCCGAUGUUGAAGAAAUCCUGUUCCAAGCCGCUCAUCUGGAGAGUCGCCAGCUGCGGUACCAGAGAGCUUCUCGGCGUCUUGCCGAUAGAGCCGCUCAGACUCAACUCUCCGAUGAAAUGAGGAAAGAGAAGCUUUUGACCGAUGAGAAGCACAAGAACAUCGGUAUCCUGAGAUCUUCUGGAGACGCGCUGAAGCAGAAGAUAUCCGAUCUAUCGGCAAGAAAAGAAUCCCUGUUGGCGGAGCUCAAGGAAGUAGAGAACGCUCUGUCCCAAGCCCAACAGGAAGAGAGCCAAUUGCCAGAGACCAUCAGGCUUCUUGAGCACGAGCGAAAUGCUCAUGGUCGCAGGGCACUUCAACUGAAGAAGAAGCUGAAGCCGAUAGAAGGUUCUGCCGAUGAUGACAUCAAGGAGAUAGAAGCAGCCAACCAAAUUCGGCUACGCGCUAUAUCGGCAAUCCAGACGCUGCUUAACACAUAUAGUUUCCAUCGGCAUUAUAUCUGCGCUUUCCUGCUUCCUCAGCUUUUAGUCUAGCCGAUAGGACUGUUAUCGGCACCUAAACUUUUGAAACACCAAGUCUUGUCCCCAAGCAUUUGGAUCCAGCCGAUAGGAGUGUUAUCGGCACCUAAACUUCUAUGCAUCGACCCAUAUACUGGGGUAGUACUUCUUUAAAUAUUUGCCGUUUAAUGCUCUGGGAAAUUCAAUUCCUUCGAGGGUUUCUAGAAUGUAGGCAUUACCAGGAGCCGAUCGACUUAUCCGAUAAGGACCCUCCCAAUUAGGAGACCACUUUCCAAACUUCGAACUUUUGGUCCCAAAUGGUAAAAUUAAUUUCCAUACCAAAUCCCCAUCGGCAAACUCUUUAGCCUUCACUUUCUUAUCAUACCAUCUAGCAACUCUCUUCUUAUUUUCUUCUAUACUCAUUAAAGCUUUUAACCGAUGCCCUGCUAGAUCGUCCAAUUCAUCGGUCAUCAAAGUGGCAUAACCAUCGGAAGUUAAUUGAUCUUGAAAAGAUAAUCGCCUAGAUCCAGCCUUAAUUUCCCAAGGCAACACUGCAUCAUGUCCAUACACCAAUUGAUAGGGUGAUACUUUGGUCGAUCCAUGACAAGUCAUCCGAUAAGACCACAAUGCUUCAUUUAAUAAUGUAUGCCACCGCUUAGGAUUUUCUUCAAUCUUUCGUUUAAUAAGCUUGAUAAUUCCUUUGUUAGACGCUUCGGCCUGCCCAUUGGCUUGAGCAUAAUAAGGAGAAGAAUUCAACACUUUAAUUCCCAUACCGAUUGCGAAUUCAUCGAACUCCCCCGAUGUGAACAUGGUGCCCUGAUCGGUAGUAAUCGUUUGGGGAAUCCCAAAUCGGUAAAUAAUAUGCUCCUUCACAAAAUCAAUCAUAUUGGCCGAUGUGACUUUCUUCAAAGGAAUAGCUUCAACCCACUUAGUGAAAUAGUCAGUGGCAACUAGAAUGAACUUAUGCCCUUUGCUAGAUGGUGGAUAAAUCUGGCCGAUCAGAUCGAUGGCCCAUCCCCGGAACGGCCAAGGCUUUAUUAUAGGAUUCAUAGCCGAUGCGGGUGCUCUCUGGAUAUUACCAAACUUUUGACAACCCUGACAUCCCUUGAAAUAUUUAAAACAAUCUUCAAGUAUGGUUGGCCAAAAAUAUCCAUUCCUUCGAAUCAUCCACUUCAUCUUAAAAGCUGACUGAUGCGCUCCACACACUCCUUCAUGGAUUUCCCCCAUCAAACUUCUAGCUUCAUCAUCACCCAAGCAUCGGAGAAGAAUUCCGUCGAUAGUUCGAUAAUACAAUUCAUUUUCAAGGAGCACAUACUUGGUUGCUUGAAAUCGAACCCGUCUUUCAACUUUUUUGGAUGGAUCUUUUAGAUAAUCAAUAAUUUCUUUCCUCCAAUCACCGGCACCGACUGCCGAUGUCGCAUUAUUCAUUGGCUGAUAUCCCGAGGCAUGCUGAGCUAACCGAUUAGCGUCUUCAUUAUGCAAUCGGGGAACAUGCUCCAAUCGGAAAUCCUUGAAUUCCUUUAACAGUUGCAUACUUCUCUCGAAAUAAGUUAUGAGAACUUCACUUCGGCAUUCAUAGCUUCCGGCCAAUUGAUUUAUAACCAACAUAGAAUCCCCGAAUAUUUCAACAGCAUCAGCACGAACUUCUCUUAACAACUCCAAUCCCUUGAUCAGAGCCUGAUACUCAGCCUGAUUAUUUGUUGAUGUGGCAACAAUCGGCAAGGAAAACUCAUACUUCCUCCCCUUAGGGGAAACUAUUACAAUGCCGAUUCCUGCCCCCCGGUCACAGGUAGAUCCAUCAAAGAAGAGCGUCCAGGGUACAAUUUCCAAGGUUUCCACUAGACCGCAAUGCUGAGUCACAAAAUCGGCCAUAAUCUGCCCUUUGACUGCCUUAGCCGAUUCGUAACGCAAAUCGAACUCCGACAGCGCUAAAAUCCAUUUACCGAUCCUACCACUCAUAAUAGGCAUAGAUAGCAUGUAUCGGACCACGUCAUCUUUGCAAACAACAGUGCAUUCGGCCAAUAACAGGUAAUGUCUCAGCUUGAUACAUGAAAAAUAUAAGCAUAAGCAUAGUUUCUCAAUGGCCGAAUACCUGGUUUCAGCAUCAAUCAACCUCCUACUCAAAUAAUAAAUUACCCUUUCUUUCCCUUCAAAUUCUUGAACUAAAGCUGAACCGAUAACCGAUCCAUCGGUAGAUAAAUACAAUCUGAAGGGCUUCCCUUGUUGAGGUGGAACUAGAACUGGAGGAUUUACUAGAUACUUCUUGAUUUCAUCCAGAGCCAACUGCUGUUCUUCUCCCCAAAUAAACUCUUGAUUGGCUUUCAAUUUAAGAAGAGGACUGAAAGCACGAAUCCUACCAGACAAAUUCGAUAUAAAUCUCCUGAUAAAAUUUACCUUGCCGAUCAAGGAUUGGAGCUCGGUUUUGUUGGUAGGGGCCACUAUUUUAUUGAUAGCAUCAAUAGAUCUUCGACUAAUUUCAAUACCUCUCUGAUGUACCAUGAAACCAAGAAACUGCCCUGCCGAUACACCAAAUGCACACUUGUUGGGAUUCAUCUUCAAUCCAUGCUUCCUUGUGCACUCUAACACUUUUUGUAAAUCGGCAAGAUGCUUUGAGAAAUCUCCAGACUUAACCACCACAUCAUCAAUAUAAAUCUCCACGAGCUUGCCGAUGAACUCAUGAAAUAUAAAAUUCAUAGCCCUUUGAUAAGUAGCACCAGCAUUCUUCAACCCAAAAGUCAUGACUAUCCAUUCAAAUAGCCCAACAUGACCAGGACACCUGAAUGCGGUUUUUGGAAUAUCCUCCUCCGCCAUGAAUAUUUGAUUGUAACCUGCAUUACCAUCCAUGAAGCUGAUGACCCGAUGACCAGCCGCAGCAUCAACCAGUAGAUCGGCGACAGGCAUUGGGUAUCCAUCCAUCGGCGUAGCUUUAUUGAGAUUCCUGAAAUCAAUGCACACCCGAAGCUUCCCGUUCUUCUUGCAAACCGGAACAACAUUGGAAAUCCACUCGGCAUACCGACACUGCCGAAUAAACUUAGCUUCAAUAAGUUUGGUGAUUUCGGCCUUAAUAUCAGGUAGAAUGUUAGGAUUACAUCGGCGGGCUGGUUGCUGAUGUGGCCGAAAUCCAGACUUGAUGGGUAACCGAUGUUCAACAAUUGAUCGGUCUAAACCAGGCAUCUCGGUAUAAUCCCAAGCAAAGCAAUCUUUAUAUUCCUUUAACAAACUAGUCAAUUGUUGCUUACUCUCAGGAUCUAAUUUAGCACUAAUAAAAGUAGGCCUAGGCUUAUCACCACUACCUAUAUCUACUUCUACCAAAUCAUCGGCCGAUGUGAAUCCCUGGCCUAAUUUUCCAUCAUCGGCGAAUCUAUCCAUUAAAAACCGUCGUCAGAACCGACUGCUUGGAUCGGUGGAAUCUCAUAAUCGGCAACUUUGAGAAAAUCUUUCUCCCAAACUUCUCCUGAAAUGCACCUGGUCCUUUCGUAAGUAUCCGCUUCUGCCGAUGCGAUAACAUAAGAAGAAUCUCCUGGGACAAUCUCAAUCUUGUCACCUACCCACUGAACCAAGCAUUGAUGCAUUGUAGAUGGGAUACAACAAUUGGCAUGAAUCCAAUCUCUUCCCAAUAAUAAGUUGUAAGCACCUUUUCCGCUGAUCACGAAAAAAGUUGUCGGCAAGGUUUUGCUGCCGAUGGUCAACUCUGCACAUAUCGCCCCCUUGACUGGAGACACGUUUCCUUCAAAGUCUUUGAGCAUCAUAUCGGUCUUGGUCAAAUCUUGAUCCCCUUUCCCAAUCUUCCGAUAUACUGCAUACGGCAUAAUAUUAAUAGCAGCUCCACCAUCAACUAGGAUCUUGGUCAUUGGCUGCCCAUCAACCCUUCCUUUGAGGAACAGAGCUUUAAGAUGCUGCCUCUCGUCAUCGGCAGGUUUCUCAAAGAUAGCCGUCAUCGGAUCCAGAGCCAACUGAGCUAUCUGAUCAGAAAAUUCCAACUCAUCAUCACUGGCUGGUGCAAGAAACUCCAUCGGCAACAUGAAGACCAUGUUGACGCCUGCCGAUGGACCUUCCCUCUUAGUGUCCGACGGCUGCCGACUUCCAGAGUUCUCUCCCUUGUUUAGCUCUUCUUGCCUUUCACGUUGCAAUCUCCUUUUCUGUGUCUUGGUUAAUCCUCCAGGGCACCAUGGAGGAAGUGGCCUUUGCCUUGCCGUCGGGCGUCGGUUCUCCCUUGACUCCAUACGAUGCGUGUUAGCAUCCCUGCAAAAUAUGAAUUCAUCGGGAACCCGCGCAUCAGCCAUUUCCUCGAGCUCUUCUUGGUUCCUGGGAAAGUACUGGACACGGUCACUAAGUCUGUCGUGCCCACUAAAUCUGCCCCCCAGCCGGUCAUGAACUGACACCCUUCCUCUGAUCGGCCCAUUAAAUCGCCGUUCAUCAUCAUGAUAAUGCCGAUCGAUCCUAUCGUACCGAUCAUAACCGUUGCACUCAGGGCAGUCUCUGACAGUAGGAAGCUUGAUAUUUUCCUCCCAACAAUGGAUGAAGAAUGGACAAUUCCAAUGAUCCCUGUGCCGAUUCCACUCCUGUCGGCGUCCUUCUUCUUCCCGUCGAUAAUCUUCCUGCUGGCGCCGAUACCGAUCUUCCCGUUGUUGCCAAUUUUCUCGAGGCCUUCUAUGAGUUAUGACGAUACCAGAUCGAGGAGGCCUUCCUGAGCUAGUUCCUUCCUGGACCAAGCCCUUACUUCUUGCAUCGGCAGUAGUAACUUGAUGCUGAGGAUCUACCGAUGCACUCUUCUCAGCUGUCUCCGAUGUUAAGACCUUAGCCUUCCCCUUAGCAUCCAACAUGUUUGUCGGGAAAGGAUGUUGGUCUAUCUUCAUCGGCUUCUGGGCUUUGGAACUGUCAAACUUGAUUCUCCCUGACUCUAUAGCCGAUUGCAGCUGCUGUCUGAAUACUUUGCACUCGUUGGUGUCAUGGGAAGUUGCAUUAUGCCACUUGCAAUAUCUCAUCCUCUUCAACUCUUCUGCCGAUGGGAUCACAUGGUUAGGUGACAGUUUGAUCUGACCUUCCUGAAGUAGAAAGUCAAAUAUCCUAUCAGCCUUAGUGGUGUCAAAAGCAAACUUCUCUGGUUCCUUCUGCCCAAAAGGACAAGACAUCGGCUUCUUGUUUUUUACCCACUCUGCCAAGCCGAUUACUGGUUCUUCAUCAGAAUCUGAGCUUGUUGCUUCAUCGACAAAUGACACUUUCCUAUUCCAUGCUCUUUUAGGCUCGAAAGGCUUGAUGUCUUGAUCAGAAAUCCUCUGCACCAAAUGACUUAAACUUUCGAACUCCUGAGAGGCAUACUUAUCCCUGAUAUGUGGCAACAAACCCUGGAAAGCCAAAUCGGCUAGCUGCCGAUCAUCCAGAACCAAGCUAUAGCAUUUAUUCUUGACCUCUCGUAUCCUCUGCACAAAACCCUCAACCGACUCAUCAUUACGUUGCCUCAACUUGACCAAGUCGGUGAUCUUCUUCUCAUGAACCCCCGAGAAGAAGUAUUUGUGGAAUUGCUUCUCUAGAUCGGCCCAAGUAAUUACUGAGUUGGGAGGUAAUGAUAUGAACCAAGUAAAGGCCGAUCCAGACAAUGAUGAUGAAAAUAGACGAACCCUCAAUUCGUCCCUGUUACCAGCCUCUCCACAUUGAAUGAUGAACCUGUUGACAUGCUCCAUGGUUGACGUGUCGUCCUGCCCGGAAAACUUUGUAAAAUCCGGUACCUUGUACCGAUGUGGAAGCGGGAUCAAAUCAUACGCGGGAGGAUACGGUGUCCGAUAAGAGUAAGUGUUGACUUUGGGUUUUAUCCCAAAUUGUUCCCUCAUCACUUCAGCAAUCUUAUCGGCCCAAUAUGCAUCGGCAUCUUGCCGAUGAGGCGGCUGCGGAUCUGGCACUUGGUGGCGAACCUCCACGUGUCUGUUCGGGACGUGAUCUGCACGGAACAUUGUAUUGAUCACCUGUCCUCCAAUCUGCGGACCACCAAACUGUUGUCCACCGAUUGGCUGUCCUCCGAGUUGCUGUCUAAAAUUCAUUGGCUGGUUGGGAAUCCCCUGACCUUGGAACCCGGGAUAGACCUGCCCUUGCUGGAACCCUGUAGUCUGGUAACUCUGCUGGGGCGAUUGUGGAAAGGCUUGCUGUCCAAGCCAUCCAUUAUUAGCGUUCAUCGGCAUAGGUGCUGCCGAUGAUUGGUAAUUGGGUACCGUCGUUGAAUUGACAUACCCCGACUGGGCCAUAGACCUCUGUUGCAUCAGCAUUGACUCUGCCGAUGCGUUGGGCAUCUGGAACAUUGAAUCUUGAGGAUUUCCAGUGUGAGGCCUUGCAGUAGUAGUUGUGGUAUACCGAGGACUCUGGUUCACCGGCGCAUUGGGAGGUGCCGAUGUCAUAGGAGUUUUGCCCCUCAUGUCAGUUAUUUGUGAUGUUCCCGGUGUCAACUCUGGAGGCAUACCGUAACCCCACCAGUUGGGAGGAAGAGUCAACCCUGACAUUGCCGAUGCCAACAUAUCUGUUGUCAGUUUAUGCUGCCCAACUGAAAUUUGUGGGUUGGUUGUCAUCGGCAUAGAUAGUGCACCAGUAGUCCCCGAUGUGCUUGGAGGGACGGCAGAUUGUGCACUUGCAGUCGUCAAGGCAGCCGAUGGAGCCGUGACCUCUGGUGCCGUUGGCUGAUGAUGGGAGGGGCCCACAUAAUCUGGUGGGAUUUGUCCUUCCUUGAAAGUUCUUGCCACGGCAUUGAAAACCGUAUUAGACAGUACACCAGCUUGGUUAAUCAACGCUCGAUUGAUGGCAUUGUCAACCAUAUCUUGAAGCUUGCCAGGAUUGGCGUCAAAGGUAACCUGCCGUGGUGCCGGCAGUGCAUCUUUCUGGACCACUUCGCCGCUCCUGUUUAUGCUGAAAGACCUCAGGCAUUGCUGCUUGAACUCUUCCAUGGCUUGGGCAAUAGCUUGCUUCUGCUCAUCCUUGAGGUUGGCCUCCGUCACGGGGAUGACGUUCUCUUGAUCGAGGUCAGAGAUCGACAUGUUGAUCUUGAUCUUGAAUCCUGUCCCACUGGGCGUGCCAAAAGAUGUGUUGAUGCAAAACUGAUCUGCAAACACAAAGGGCUAAUACCCGAUUCAAACGUUAAGGCGUGCCAGCCGAUUUGACCUUGCUAUCGGCAAAGGUGAUAACUCGAAUACUUUAGUCCUGACAACAGCGAUGCGCCCGGAUGUCACGGCUAAGAGGUACUCACGCGGAACUUGAGAACACGCCGAGCUUAAGUCGACGAAUUCCUAAGAACUCGUAACAAAAGGAAAAAGUAUGACGAAGUCGUCGAAAAGUAAAUGCUGGAAUAUGAGUAAAAACGUGUGUUUGAUUCAUUGAUUCAUUUUUUAUUACAAGGCCCUAGGGUCUAUAUUUAUACCCUGCUCAAAGAGCUACAACCAGACACGAUUAGAAUUCGAAUUCCAAAUUACACGGAAUCCGUAUACAAAACGAUGCAAAUAAUUAAGGAAAUAACAAAACUAUCCCUCGUGACAAACCGAAACUCCUCCACAUAACGACCGGCAGCUUCCGGACUCCCUCUUUGCAUCAUCAGCAGACCCUUUGCCAUAGUCAUCGGCAGACUUUCUUAUCUAGCCAUCGGCACCAUAUUACUGCCUGUGGACUUAGUCACGUUCAACUUCUCCCUCAUCGGCAACCAUCCUCAUCGGCAACCCACUUUGUAAACAUCGUACUGCCACCUUAUCCUGCCAUCCUAGACACGUGCCCAAAAACGGUGUCAACAGGCUCGCUUGAGAUGCUAGGGACCCAUGUACUAGUGGGUCUAGAUCCUUGCAUGUAGUGGGCAAGCAUCUAGCGCCUCAUGCAAGCAGCCCAGUCCAUGCCAAACAACAUCUAUCCCAUCUUUUAGCAAGGAAGGCACUCCACCAUGCAAGUGUAGAUGAGCAAACCACCAGGAAAAGUGAGACACAAGAUUUAUCCCCAAUGUUCAGUUGCUUGCUGGUAACCUACAUCCUCGUUGAGGCUCUUGGCUUCAUCUUUUUUUUGCAGCAACUCUUUUUUGAACGAAAACCGUGGGGCAAAGCCCCCCGGCAACAUAUAUUGAACA
rnacentral:lncRNA from 1 species